rnacentral:lncRNA from 1 species
UGCUGCAAUUGUCAACACCAUAGUUAUGUAAAACACACCAAAGCUGGCAUAGAAACUGUCCAUGUCUAUGAAGCCACCAUCUCCAUUGAAAUCGUUAGGCACUCUUGCGGAUGGUGAUUCUGUUUUGUCGCAACUGUUUUGCAAUGGAGGUCCACAAAGAAGAGGAUUCCCUUUAUAACUGCUCUCAUCAAAGGUACCAAAUUGAUUUUUCAUCUCCAGUGUUCUUCCUGACAAAUUAUUGUACGACACGUUGAAAACUUCUAGAAAGGUCAGUUCAACGAGUUGUUCUGGAAUUCUCCCAUUCAAGGUGUUGUGAGAAAGAUCCAAGCUCUCUAUCUGCUUCAGAUUGGAGAAAGAUGGAGGGAUCAAUCCAGUGAGAUUAUUUCGCGACAGAUUUAGAGAGUAUAUCCCACUUAAGUUUCCCCAUUCUGUCGGGAUUUCUCCAGUGAAUCUGUUACAAGAAAGGUCCAUAACAGACAUGUAACGAAGGAUAUCGCCUUCGUAAGAGUAGAAAUUUUUCUUUGUUGUAAGCUCUACAGAUAUUUUUACACUGAUCUCUGGCCACAAAAUUUUGCCAUAAAGAUAAAAACCUUCGUGCUCCAAUUCUCUUUCCCCCAUGGAUGCAAAUAUUUCUUUCCGGCUUCCAUCAUCUUGUGAGUACGUACUAGUGACAACCCAAGUUUUUUCAUAUGAUGCCGUAAAAUCUAAAUUGCUCAAACAUGAGGGUAACAGACUAGAAAAAUUAUUUUCUGAAAGAUCCAAUAUGCUUAAUUUCCUUAACAAGCAUAAUUGAACAGGAAGUUCCCCAUUGAAUUGAUUAGAUUUCAAAAGAAGAAAACUCAAUUCCGAAAGUCUAUCAAUCCAAUUUGGAAUUGGCCCAGUUAAGUUGUUAUAGCCGAGAUCUAAUGUCACCAAAGAAGAGAUGUUAUAAAAAGCAUUUGGCAGUGGACCGGUCAAUCGAUUUCCGUAUAGGUGGACAUAGCGUAAAUGCGGUGCAUAAAAGCCCAACGGCAAAGACCCAGACAAAUUGUUUUCAGAAAGAUCUAAAAAUUCAAGCCUAGAAGGAUUGAAAUAUUCUUUUGGAAUGGUACCUUCAAACUGAUUUCUGGACAAAUCAAUUGCCUGAAAGGGGUAUAUUGAAGAGUUCCCAAUUCCCCUUGGAAGCAUGCCUGACAAAAGAUUGUUACUUAUAUCAAACCACAAAAAUGAUGAUGCAAGAGAAAAGGUACCAGAUACUUGUCCUGCAAAUUUGUUUCCGUCGAGAAAGAGGUACUCUAGGUGAGUCAUGUUGAACAAAGAGAGUGGUAAUCGCCCUUUGAAAUUGUUAUUGGACAGCUUUAAGGACCACAACGAGGAGCCUACUGCUGGAAAAUUAUGCUUAAGCAGUUCACAAGACAUCUGAUUGUUGGAAAGAUCAAAGUAUUCGAGAGAGCUCAUAUUCCCAAAACAAGGAGGAAUACAACCUGUGAGGCUGUUGUUAGCCAUCAUGAAGUUUUUCAAACGUGGAAAAAUCGAACAUAUGUUGCUUGCAAUUUGACCAUGUAUGUUGUUGCCAGACAUAUCUACUGUCUGAAGGUUGGGUGUUGGAUGUUGUGGCAGCUGCAAAAGACUUGUAAAUGAGGUGUCUCUCAAAUAUAGCCGAUUUAACUUUCUAUUAUUCUCAAACAGCCAAGAUGGGAAAGGUUCUCCAACGAAUUUGUUGUGGGAUAGAUCAAGAAACACCAAAUCAUGUUGGCUAUGCAGGAAGUUUGGAAAUCCAGCUCUGAGUGGUUUUGAAGUACAGUUUGAAGCACUGAAGUAACGAAGCUGGAACUUGGGAGCUGAAGGCUGAAAACUGGGUGCAGCUAUCAGCUCAUUGUUAUCGCAUGCAAUGAACUUGAGGUUGGAGAGGUUCAUAAAUGAACCAAAUGUUAUUGGAACUUGAAAGUAGUUACUUGAAACUGAGAGGUAUUCAAGCUGCGUAAGAUGGGAAAGGUGACUAGAGGCAAUAUUUCCCUCCAAUUGGUUGUCAGAUACAUCCAAGAUUUGUAGAGAUGAUAGAUUUCCAAAACAAGGAGGGAGUACGCCCUUUAGAUAGUUUCUUGAGAGAUAUAGCUUUUCAAGAUUCUUCGGUUCACACCAGCCUGCAGAAUAUAUCAAUAUGUUCAUAUAUCAAUUAUGUAAUUGCUUGGUGAGGUUUUAAAGUUUUAGUUGAUUCUUGUUUCAUUACCUAGGUCGGUUUUAGAUUAUAUUUAAACAACUUUGUUUGUUAGUUUUUUAAAAGAUUAAUUAUCUAUAUUAUUGAUAUUCAUAAUUUUUUUAAUUCAAAGUUUUUUCUAUAAUUUAAGACAGAGAAAUUUUAGAGAUUCAGAAACUCUAGAUUUUAUCCUUUUCUAUACAUAACAUUAUGAGUAAAUUUCUAGUUUAAUAAAACAUAGAUAUAACAAAAUAUCUAAUGAACAACUGUUAUUUGGAUUUCAAUACUCUUAUAAUUGUUCAUUUGUAGAAUUACCAUCCCAAUAUCCAUAUAAAUUCAAUGAAAUAUAAAUUUGUGUGUUAAUUUUUUGAUAUUAUAUCAAUAUUUUAAUAACCAAAUAUUCAUGAAUUCUAACAUAUCACAUAUAAAUUCUAACUAGUUGAUCCUUUAAUAAAAUUUUAAAAAUUGAACAAAAGUUAAUGGUUAAUACACAUCUAUUUAUUAGACAAAUUCACUAAAGAAUAAAUUAAGCCUCACUAAGGAAUGUCAUCCAAGGAAGGAAUGAUUUACAACUUUACCAUUGAGACCAGUUGAUCCUGUGAACAUAUUGUCUGAUAGAUCUAGAGAUUUGAGAGUUGAAAAUCCAUUGAGAGAUGAUAAAAUGCUGUCGUUAAAUUUAUUGUUACUUAGAUAAAGUUCCUCCAAAUUCCUCAACCCUGAAGCUAGGACUUGAAAACCUGAAAGAAAAUUGUCGGAAGCAAAGAAAUUAACAGAUAUAUAUAUCAACCAUCCCAAUAUCCAUAUAAAUUAAAUGAAAUAUAAAUUUGUGUGUUAAUUUUUUGACAUUAUAUCAAUAUUUUAAUAACCAAAUAUUCAUGAAUUCUAACAUAUCACCUCCAUUCUUUUAAUAAAAUUUUAAAAAUUGAACAAAAGUUAAUGGUUAAUACACAUCUAUUUAUUAGACAAGUUCACUCAAGAAUAAAUUAAACCUCACUAGGGAACGUCAUUUGAGGUAGGAAUGAUUUACAACUUUACCAUUGAAACCAGUUGAUUCUGUGAAUCUAUUGUUUGAUAAAUCUAGAGAUUUGAGAGUUGAAAAUCCACUGAGAGAUGAUAAAACACUGUUGUUCAAUUUAUUGUCACUUAGAUAAAGUUCCUCCAAUUUCCUCAACCCUAAAGCUAGGACUUGAAAACCUGAAAGAAGAUUGUCAGAAGCAAAGACAAUUAAAAGAUUUAUAUAUCAACCAUUUCAAUAUCCAUAAAGAUUCAAUGUAAAGUUACUUGAAACAUAACUAACUUUAUGUGUUAACUAAAAAAAAAUUGAAAGCAUAGAACCUUGGUUCUUUAAGCCACCAACUAAUUGGUUGCCGCUUAAGUCGAGAAUCUCCAGUUCUUUGAAAGGCAGAAACAAAGGUGCAUUGAGAUCCAAGUCUUCGACUGCAUCAUAAUUUACAUAUGAAAGAUGUAGUUCGAUCACUCGGUUUGUGGUGUUGUCACACACAACCCUAUAAUAAUCCCAGUUACAGCAAUUAAAGUGCUCUUUAUCCCAACGUUCUAGCGGAUCAUAGGACCCAGCUGCACGUGCAUGAUAGAACCAAGCUUUUAUCUCUAAGAGACUAACUCUCUCUUCCUCCACACAACAAUGGCUCCGGUCGUUGAGGAAGGCCAGUGCCAUGAGCAGCAUCCACACCCACAUUUGCCUCAUCUUCAUAUUAACGCUCCUACUUGACAAAAUACAAAAGCAAGCAAGCUGUCUCUUAUAUACAAAUUAAUUUGUCCUCUUCAUUUGAUCGGACUUAAUUAUCUGUAUCAUUGAAUUUUCUAUGCUGAAUUAAUUAUCCAAGGGAGACUUGGGCUGAAUUGAAUGGGAGAAUCUUCACGGACAGAUCCAGGGGCCCGCACCACGGCACAGAUCGCUCGGUUUGUGGUGUUGGAUUAAAGGAUAUUAAUUCCAACUUCUUGUUUACUGCUUUACUUUUCUUCAUAGACUUGGGAAGUCAGGUGCUGUAUAUGAACAAUUGAUUUGAUCUUAUGAAAUACACGGCAGAAGAGAUUAGAAAAUGACUUCUAUUAUCAAUAAUUUCUUCUUACUGCACCUACUGAUUUUUAUUUCUUUUGAAAUAUUUAGAAUAUCUCUUUUGAAAUAUCAAUAUCGCCUACCCCACUUCCUUCAUUUUUGUUAACGGAGUGAAAUGAUUUCAACACGUGUCCAUGCAUCUGCCAGCUACCCUAAUUAAUCUGCACUAACAGUGACCAUAACAGCUGUAACAAUACUCCCUCAAUACUUGUAACAUCAUCCUAAUAUAUAUAUAAUAGAUUGGAAGCAUGCAUGGGUUUCUUACAUGAUUAACUAAACUUAAUCUUGUAAUAUUGAAUUAUUUGAUGAAAACAUUAUCUAAAACAAGAUUAAUUGAUAUAUUUAAAGUCAAAUAAAAAACAAACCCUGCUUAUUUUUAAUAUUAAAAAUUAUUUCUAACAUAAAUUUUUAACAUAAUAAUUUAUCAAAAUUAAAAUAAAUUAGAAUCACCGUUUGAGCAAUUGAUUUGAUCUUGGGCCCACAAUUAUUUUCAUUAGCCUGUUAAUAUUUUUCUUCAAGCUUGUGGAACAGGUUGUUCCUUUAGGCUACUUUGCUUCUUCUUUUUUUUCUUCUUAGACUUGGGAAGUUAUUUGUUUGAACAUUUAAUUUAAGUUUUUAUGGUUGUUUGUUUUUGUGUUUUAAAAGUAUUUUUAAAUAAAUUUUAAAUUUUUUAAUUUUUUUAUUAACUUCAAAUUAAUAUAUUUUUAGUGUUUUCAAAUCAUUUUGAUAUGCUAAUGUCAAAAAUAAUUUUUAAAAAAUAAAAAAAUAUUAUUAAUAUAUAUUUUAACAUAAAAAAUUAUUUAAAAAACAAUAAUAUAAUCUCAUCAUCCAAUAUCGCUUGUUUUUAUUCUUCGUAGACAUGUGAAGUAAAGAUUCCCAAUUAUCCACUGCAUCAAUCUCUAUCCCAUCAAAAUGAAUUUGGUGCAAGAAAAAAAUAUCUAAUAUAUGUGAUUUACUCAUUAUGCAUAUUUAAGAUUGCUAAAGGAAAAUAUUUAGUUUAAUUUCACAUAUAAGCUAAUUCGAUAACACUUUUUAAUAUAAAACCAAAAAAAAAAAGAGUGCUAUCGUCAUCAACUUUAUUUGGUUUCAAUUUAUGACGUUUGACAUAUAAAUUCUGUUCAAUUUAAAUCAACUUUUCAAUAAAUAGUGAAUGUUAAUGAGCACAGUAGCGAGAACUAAGCAGUGUUAUGUGUACUUGGAACCAAGGUUGUUAAAAUCGUGUUUUGACUCGUAAAAUCGUACGAUUUUACGAGUCAAAACAUGUAUUACGGGUUGAAUCGCUUGAAAAAAUCAAAAAUAGCUAAAAUCGGGUUGAAAUCGAGUGAAAUCGCGAUUUCAGGACCGAUUUUGCGAUUUUGACAAAAUAAGGCCCUGAAACAAAAUCCUCCCUCCUGGAUAGCUGUCAUGCCUAUUGGAUUAUUCCUGCACAGUCUUACUCAUACACAACGUUUCAUGUCUUCCUUAGCUCUCGUGUCUAGCGUGAAUAGGAAGGUCCCCGUGUUGGUCAAGCAGGAAUGUCUGGAACUAGUUGCUAUGUGUAAUAAAAAAAACUUUGGCAGGAUAUGAACAGAAUGAAGAAUUACAAAGAUGAAAUCUCUCUCUCUCUCUCUCCCCUUCCUUCUUCUUAUCUCUUUCACCAUUCAUGCUGCAACCCUCCUGUUGAUUUCUGGAAAUGGUUCAGAACCAUUCCAUCGCAUUCAAUUCCCCUGGAUAUAUUUCUGGAAAUGUAAUUUUUAAUCUAUUAAUUUUUUUUAUAAAACAUAUUAACCGAAUAUUAUUUCAAUUUCACUCGAGUUUUAUGGUAGAAACUGGUGAAGUGUGUGUAUAACACCUGACAAUAUUUUAAGAUGCUUGAACUAUAUAUGAAUUUUUAUUUGAAGGCUUGAAAUAUGUAUGAAAUUUUAUUUGAAACAUGUUUUUUAAUGUGCUUGAACUAUGUAUGAAUUUUUAUUUGAAACAUGAAUUUUUUUUAAUGUAUUUCAAAAUUCCUUACGAUUUUACGAGCCGUUUUUACAAUCCGAUUUUGUGAAGGGCUUUCCGUUUCGUUCUAAAAUCGCGAUUUUAACAAUCUUACUUGGGACUGUGAAUAAUGUACACUUUAGCUCUCUUCAUACAGUCAAUUGACUUUGACACAGUAAAAAUGAAAAAAAAAUUACUCCGUCGAUUGGUGAUUAAACUACAAUACUAAAUAUACCAACUCUGUGGAUUUGUGAUUAAACUUGGAAAAAAACAACAAUACUAAAAAAAGCCAUAUGUGAAUUUGUGAUUAAGAAAAUUCAUUAUUUUAUUUUUUGACAUAUUAGGUUCCACUAGAUGCACCCAGUCAAUGUGAGUGGUUGUCUUUUUUAUUAUUUAUGAGGAUCCAAUUGAUGCAUCAAGUCUAGGGCUCCACAAUCACUGUCACUAGUCAAUUCCGCCAACUUGUUGCGUAAACUACUUUGCUUUCUCUUCAUAUAUAGACAUGGAAAUCAUGUGGAAUCAAAAAAUUUAUUCCUUAACCUUUUUCAUGGAAUGAAGUGAUUUCCCAGUAGCAUCAUCAUCCACUUGCACUUUUUUUUUCUUCGUAGACUUGAGAAGUCGGUCAAGAUUCCCAAUAUAUUAUCAACAUCAUCAAUUUAAAAAAGAAAUAUAUGUUAGGUUGAUUUAUAUGUUAGGCUGAUUUACUUCCAUAUUAAUUAUUGUUUGAAUAUUCUUAAUCCGAAUGAUAUUAGUCCAUUCAAAACAAAUUCAUUUUCUUUUUUUAUAAAUAUAUUUAUAUAACUACCAAAGAAGAAAAUGCAUUGAUUAAAAUAUUAUUAAUCUGUUUGAAUGAAGAAAGUUAAGGCAGAGAUGACCAACCUAAACACCGUGUGGGCCAAUAAAAUUGAAAACAAAAGAUAAUAUCAAUGGCUUGCAAAAAAAAAGGGUUUGUGUUAAAUUUAUCUAUAUGUUAAAUUACUUGAUUUACUAAACUUAAUCAUGUAAUAUUGAAUUAUUUGAUGAAAACAUUAUCUAAAACAUGAUUAAUUGACAUAUUUAAAGUCAAAUAAAAAACAAAUCCUGCUUACUUUUAAUAUUAAAAAUUAUUUUUUAAUCUAAACUCUUUAGCAUGAAAAUUUAACAAAAUUAAAAUAAAUUAUGAUUACUAUUUGAGCGAUUGAUUUGAUCUUCGGCCCCACAAUUAUUUUUGUUAGUCUGUGAAUGUUUUUCUUCAAGCUUGUGAAACUGGAUAUUCCUCUGUAAUGUAAGUUCCUUUGUUUUUUUUCUUCGUAGACUUGAAAAGUCAUUUGUUCGAACAUUUGAUUUUCUGAUAAGUCAAUCAUCCACUGCAUCAAUCUCUAUCCCAUUGUUAGUCUGUGAAUUUUCUAUGCUGAAUUAUCCAAGGGAGACUUGGGCUUCAUUGAAUGAGAGAGUCUUCACGGCACAGAUCGCUCGGUUUGUGGUGUUGGAUUAAAGGAUAUUCCAACUUCUUGUUUACUGCUUUGCUUUUCUCCGUAGACUUGGGAAGUCAAGAUUCCUAUAAUCCACAUCAUCAAAAAAACCCAAAUCGAUAAUGUGGUGUUGGAUUAAAGGAUAUUAAUUCCAACGUCUUGUUUACUGCUUUACUUUUCUUCAUAGACUUGGGAAGUCAGGUGCUGUAUAUGAACAAUUGAUUUGAUCUUAUGAAAUACAUGGCAGAAGAGAUUAGAAAAUGAUUAACAGAUAUAUACAUCUCAACCAUACCAAUAUCCAUAAAGAUUCAAUGUAAAGUUACUUGAAAUAUAAUUAACUUUAUGUGUUAACUAAAAGAAAAUUGAAAGCAUAGAACCUUGGUUCUUUAAGCCACCAACUAAUUGGUUGUCGCUUAAGUCGAGAAUCUCCAGUUCUUUGAAAGGCAGAAACAAAGACGCAUUGAGAUACAAGUCUUCGACUGCAUUGAGAACAUCAUAAUUUACGCUAUAAAGAUUUAGUUCGAUCACUCGGUUUGUGGUGUUGUCACACACAACCAAAUCCCAGUUACAGCAAUUAAAAUGCUCUUUAUCCCAACCUUCUAGCUGAUGGGACCCAGGUGCACCUGCAUGAUUGAACCAAGCUUUUAUCUCUAAGAGACUAACUCUCUCUUCCUCCACACAACAAUGGCUCCGGUCGUUGACGAAGGACAGUGCCAUGAGCAGCAUCCACACCCACAUUUGCCUCAUCUUCAUAUUAACGCUCCUACUUGACAAAAUACAAAAGCAAGCAAGCUAUCUCUUAUAUACAAUUUUGUCCUCUUCAUGCAUUUGAUCGGACAGUGACAAUUAUCUGUAUCAUUGAAUUUUCUAUGCUGAAUUAAUUAUCCAAGGGAGACGUGGGCUUCAUUGAAUGAGAGAGUCUUCACGGCACAGAUCGCUCGGUUUGUGGUGUUGGAUUAAAGGAUAUUCCAACUUCUUGUUUACUGCUUUGCUUUUCUCCAUAGACUUGGGAAGUCAAGAUUCCUAUAAUCCACAUCAUCAAAAUGAAUGUGAUCGAAGAAAGGAAAAAAUGAAAAAAAAAAAAAAACAUUAACAGUGGCUUACAAAAAAUAAAUAAAUAAAUAAAACCAUCAAUUACGAGCUUCAUAAGAUAAUUUUAGCUUAAAAAAACCCAAAUCGAUAAUGUUUUCUUUAACAUUGGUAUCCGUUUAAUCAAUCUUCUGGUUUGAUCCUUGAUAGUGCUGUGUUUUGAUGCUUGUCGAUUAGCCACAAUAAUGUUAAAUUUACAAGGACAGAUCCAAGAAAAGCAAUGCAGGCCUGUUUUGGUCUCUGGGAGUCCCCUGAUAAAGGCUGCAACUAUUGCUUGAACCCUUGUAAAGGGGCCUUUACACAUGCGGUCCACUGAGAAGUACAACACCGUUCUUUAUUUAAUUCUUAUGGUUUAAAUCUACUAAUAACUUAGUCAUUUUGCAUGCUAUUUUUCCACUUGUUUUGUAAAAUAGAGAAAAGAACUGUUAAGCAUGCUGGAUAUUUCGCAUAAUAAGCUCCGGGUCCUUUAUCCUCUUGUUUGUCCAAUUUAACUUUCAUGGCAAACGAUGCAAAAUGCUAUGUAUCUUUUACUUGGCCUAGUAUUCAAUAUUUUGAUCAGUCAAAUCUUGUACUCAUGGGUUUGCCUCAAGUAGGCGAUUCUUAUCGGGAAAAUAAGUACACAAACAACAUUGCAGAUUAAUCUGUCGAGUUCUCAACAAAAAGACAGUCAUACUCCUAUCGAGAUGUGACGCGGAACAAUAAGUAAAAAGAAUUAAAGCAAGAAAAGAAAGAAGCUUUAAAGAAGAAAGAAGCUAAAGAAGAGGAGGAGAGGGGUUGGAGAUGUGCAAAUCUGCAAUUUUCAUUCAUUCAAAAAAUGUCUUCCCAAAUGACAAAGAGCAUAUAAAUAGUCUCAACCUAGAACAUCCUGCUAUUGGGCUUGGCCCAUCAAACCAAAUUGUUUAACAUAAAUAAUAAAAAUAACAAUGAGCAAGCCCAAAUGGGCUAAAUAAAUAAAAUUACAAUGAGAUAGGCCCAAUGGGCUUAGUCUCCCAACCAAAGCGUGACAGGCUGGGCCAUCCUACGUCGUCUCCGUCCAUAUACUCGUGUAAUCUGUGGCGUGGGCCUGGUGUCCUCACCAACUCUCCUGGGGUUAGAGAAACUCGACCUUGUCGAGCGUAGCAGUGGCCGACUCUGAUAGUACUCCCAAAGAUCUGGGUCAAGCUGCUGCAAAGUAUCUCUAGUAAUCCAAGUGCAGUCUGAGUCGGGUCGACCCACCCAGCGAACUAGAAACCGCUGAAUCUCACCAUUCCUAUUAAAAACAACUUGUUCAUCCAGAAUAGCAUCAAUAUUAUCCUUUUGUGCUGAUGUCAAAGUAAAAAGGGAUAGGGGUUUAUUAGGAUCAUCAGGAGGGGGUUAAGUGGUGUUCAAUGGGUCAUUUGGAAUAGGAAGUGGUUUGUGGUAUGCAACUAGAUCCUCAAUGUUAAAUGUAGAGCUAAUGCCAAAAUCAUGUGGUAAAUCAAGAACAUAAGCAUUUGGACCAACCCGUUGUAGCACUUUGAAAGGCCCGCACUACGUGCAUGCAAUUUUCGAUUAGCUCCCGAAGGAAACCGUUCGGGUCUAAUCCGUUAUCAUAGUCUCCAACAUUAAACUCAUUAUGUCGUCUAUGUGCAUCAGCUUGAAGUUUAUAUUGCGCAUUACUUGCUUGAAUUUGUUUAGUGAUCUCAAUAUGCAAAUCCUGAAUUCUACGUGCAAAAGACUCGGCUGACUCAGACACUCUAGCAUGAAGGGACAUGGGAAGAAGAUCUAAAGGUUUCCUAGGCUUGUAACCAUGUACAACUUCAAAGGGACUCAUGCCUAUUGACCUAUUGAUGAGCUAUUAUAGGCAAACUGGGCUAGGAAGAAUCAGAUCCCAAUUCCGAUUAUGAUCACUCACUAGACACCUUAAAAGGUUACCCAAACUCCUGUUAACCACCUCAGUUUGACCAUCAGUUUGGGGUGGUAAGCAGUAGAAAACUUCAAUUUGGUUCCCACCAUAUGCCAAAGGGUUUUCCAGAAAUAACUUGUAAAUCUAACAUCCCUAUCUGAAACUAUGGUUUGGGGAAGGCCGUACAACUUGACAAUCUCGUCAAAAUAGAGUUUUGCGACUCUGGAAGCAUCUGUGGUCUUAGUACAAGGAAUAAAAUGGGCCAUCUUAGAGAAGCGGUCGACAACCACAAAAAUAGAAUCAUGUUUCUUUGCAGUACGUGGAAGCCCAAGCACAAAAUCCAUGCUUACAUCUUGCCAAGGGCAAGUAGGCACGGGUAAUGGAGUGUAAAGACCAGUAUUUUGUUUUCUAUGCUUAGCGAGUUGGCAAGUUCGACACUGACCUACUAAUUUGGCGACAUCUCUUUUCAAACUAGACCAAAAAAACUGACGUUCCACUUCUUCGAUGGUUUUAUUCCUUCCAAAAUGUCCUGAGAGACCUCCAACAUGAAUCUCCCAUAUCAAAAAAUCACGCACAGAUGUUUUCAGGAUACAAAGCUUAUUAUCUCGAAAUAGGUAUCCAUCUUGGAGGUGAUAACCAUUUAUAACACGGUGAUGCGCAUCCUUCAAUGUCAAGUAUAUUUCUCCAAAUUCUAGGCAAGAUUCAUACUCCUCCUUAAGUCUCUCAAAUCCUGUGACUCCAACACUCAUUACAGAUAACAACGUCACCCGACGACUCAAAGCAUCUGCAGCCUUAUUCUCUAUUCCAGAUUUAUGUUUCAAAACAAAUGAGUAUGCUUGCAAAUAUUCAACCCAAUGACCAUGCCUAUUGUCGCACCCUAAAAAAAAUCAGCUCGCGGCAUCGGCUGGCGAUUUUUCUCGUUUGUUUGUCGUUGCUUGAAUUUGGUUCGUUGGAGUCGCCACCUAGUAAUUGAUUGCGGGCUACUAGGAAACCGGCUGUACUGGUCUUGUCAGAGAUUCGUGGGUACGGGACUGGUUGUGGUUAGGGAAGGUAUUAGCACCCCUAACACACCCUACCUGAGGUAAGCUGCUUCGCGAAUUUGAUGUAUUAAAGAAGUUUUAAUAAUUGUCUUUUCAUCAGAAAUUAGAAAUAUCACUUACGUAUAAGUUAAUAAUUCUUAACCAAGAUCCGAUCAAAAUAUUAAAUUCUUCUUUAAUAUAUUUGCAAUUUUAUCAUUAAAAAAUAUAUACAAAUAAAUAAAAACAAAAUACAAACACACACGUACACUUCCACUAUUUUUGUUUCUUUUCUUUUUUUCUUUUCUUUUCUUUUACAUCCAUAUUUACAAAACAAAUAGACAAUCCAAAAAAAAAUAAAAAAAAAAUACAUCAAACAAUUUAAAAUUACAAAACAGCCCCUAAAACAUCCUAAGGCUUCUAGAACAUGCAGGAACAGUGCACGAGAACAGUGCUGGGAGGCUUCUGGUGCAGAGAAUCAGUUGAUGCUUGCCAUUUGUUCUCAGUUAUACUAAGAAAGAAUGAACCGCGACUCUGUCCACCAUUCUCUCCUGUGCAUGAACAAAUCAGUGAAGGAAUAUUUGCAGUGAUAAAUAUGUUAAUGGUUUCCUGACUUCAUUAGAAUAUUUUGCUCCCAUUUUCUUUGCUCCAUGAACUGAAUAUAUAUUGCAACAUAAUUGUGGUGUUGUCAAUCACGGCAAUUAUGCACAUAAAUCCUUACUGGCGCCGCAGGUGGUUUUACUUCAUUGAAGAAUCGCAACUAUUAUGCUGCUGUUUUCUAGCGGUUAGUUUCCGUAAGCUGUCCAACAUCAUGUCAUCGAACCUCUGUAUAAUCAUUCAAUUAGAUGACACAUUUAAAAAUUUUAAAAACUAAUAAUACUAUAACUAUGAAGAACACCUAAAAUAUUUAAUUUUAUUCUUCCAAGUCUCUGCUAAACUAAUUAUACACAAUUGUGGUACUAGCAAUUGCGGCAGUUUUGUACAUAAACCCAUAUUGGCGACAUAGGUGGUUUUACUUCAUAGAAGAGUGCAUGGAGACUUGCUACUACUUUGAAUUGCAUACAUUUCAUAAGCUAUCCUCCUUCAUAAGGCCAUAGGGUCUGACGCGUGCCUUUUGUUUUUUCAUAUUUUUUAGUUUGAACUAAUAAAACCUUUACUUUUUUUCAAGCUUCAGUUAAUUUUAUUGCAGUUUCUCAAAUGAAUUCUACAAAUUCAAGAUAUAUAUGCAUCCUUAAUGCCAUAUUAAAGAGAAUAUAUAGAUAGGAAGAAGAGGAGCUUUACGUGAUAUGGAUAGCGAGAUGCUCCUAAGCCUAGAACCAGCUAAAACUUAAUAUUAUGAUGAAUAAUUCAGCAAAACUUAAUUCAAUUUCAACUUCCAUUCUCAUCAUUAGUACAAAAUGCAGAGUCAGAUUGAAAGGAAAAUGAUUGGAACUUGAAAUUCAGGUAACAAUACAUCUAGCAGAGCUUCCUCCUUACCCUCUCCCUAUUGUAUCUUCUUCGAGUGGAACUCUUAGCUUUUUGCCCUCCAAGAUAAAUGUUCUCAUCUUUCUCCAGUACUCUCUGAUAACUCAGAGAGCAGCCGCCCUGUAUAUUCCCUUUUUUUUUUAUUAUUAUUCAAAACGUUAUAGAGAAGUUCUUUUACAGAGAAACCCUUUUUAAGAUAACCAUCUAGAUAAAUAACAUUAAUCCCAUAUAUAUCAGGAUAUAUACAAUUACAAAAUAUUAAAAUAUAAUUUUUAUUUUAAAUUUUACAGCUCACGCUAACAUUAAUUCCUAAACAGUACAGCUCACGCUAACACUCUCUUUUCCAUCCAGCAUAAGCAGUCACAACUUACCUCCACGGAAAACUUUAUAGCCAACUUCAACCAAUAUUUAAAAGGAAUUUUGUCCUAUGUUUGAUAAGCAAAAUCAACAGAACCUGUCGUUGACUUUCUAGCUCAAAUUUAGCAGUAGCCAUUUUAAGGAGCAGAAACAAACACUGUACUUUUAUCAUCACGAAAAUCUGGUUGAUUUAUUAUCACGAAAAUCGAAAAUCUAGUUGAUUUAUCAUUACGAAAAUCUAGUUAAAACAAAUUAAUAUGAAAUCAAAUCGAGGAUGAAAGGUUGAUUUUGAGAUCAAGAAUAGCAUGUAUUAAAAAGAUAAUAAAUAAAAUUAGAGUAAUAACAUUGAUACAACUUAUCAUUAAAUUUCAUUUGCAAUUUCCUCUCGAUUUUCUGUAGUUCUGUAGAGACAUAGAUUAGUUGGUUCUUACGGGAAUUUUUCUUCCUUAAUUUCACUCCCAUUUCCCAAACGAUGGAAUUCAUACAACCUUUCGAUUUUAUUUCCACGUAAAAUCCAUUCUUCUCUAUCAAACAGAACAUAAUAAUGGGCCAUAUUUUAAUUUAAAUAUAUUUUUCCUAAUAUUUAAAGUUUUUUUACUGGGAAAAUAUCAUGGGGAUUUGAGAGAAAAGACAAUAGAUAAGAAAGGACAAGAAAAAAAGUGAGAGAAAAUGAUGGUGGGUCUUCAUUCUUCAGGGACCGUAUUGGAACUCUUUGGAGGCAUGCGUGAGAGGUGAAAUGGGAAAGUAUAGGGAACAAAGUGUAAUGUCAAUGAAUAUAUAGGGCUUAAAAUGCAAUUUACCCUUAAUUUUUUCGUGGAUGACGCAGUCACAAGGAGAGGAUAGAUGUCAUUUCUGAAAUGAUAAGACAGAAGUGACAAUAAGUAAAAUUUCGUAAAUCAUCAUCAAUCAAAAAUCAUGACGUGGGGACAAAUCACAUAAUUGAUUGAUUUUACAACCCUUUAAAACAAACUCAUCAAAAUAUUUAAUCCAAAUUCUGAAUAAACAACAAUAUCUAAUGUAGAUAGGUUUGAAUAAUUUGAUGAUUAUUAAUAGUCAAUUGUAGAUUUAUCACAAUUAGAUCAUAUAUAUAAAACCCAAUAAACUCAUAAUACGAACAAAUAUAACUGGGCUAACUUAAGAAAAAAAUACAUUGGUGCAAAAUGACUAGUCUAACUAAAAAAGUUUAAAUUUUAAUUUGACCUCAUGGAAAUCAUUCUCAAAUUUAAUUAGGAGAUUUUAUGGUUUCUAUUCUAUAAAGGGUGUGUGUAGGCUUGAAAGAAGUUAUGCGUGCCAAUUUCGUUAUUUUUUUAAUCUUUUUACAAUUCUAGUUUAAUUUUGGAUUUUAUAUUGUAAGAACCUAUAUCAUAUCAAGAUUAAAUUUCAGUAAAAAAAAAUAUUAGAAUUCUAGUUGUGGAGAGUUUUUUUAUAUAUAGAAUUACGUUUUUCUUUGAGCUUGUUUUUUUCUUAACCGGAUCAACUACAUCAAUCUCCUAAAAAAACGAAAAAAAAAAAAGUUGGGAAUGAAAACUUAAGUGAAAUUUAACAGUCUGCAACAACAAUCCUUUACCGUCCACCAUGAAAUGAUCAACAGGUUUUUUUUAAGGACAAUAUAAAUUCUGAAAGAGCGUAGACAUGAAUGACAGCCAAGAACCACCCAACAGCCAUGCAGGGUCUAGUCUGCAUGGCAAAGGUCCCCUCAAUCGCUGAAUCCACAUGAACACAGUCUAAUGAACUGCUAACAUGCAUUUGGUUGUGGUAAUUCAAUUAUGCGAAGGGUGUCGGUCCGAAUUCUUCAACUUAAACGAACAUGUUUGCGUAAUUAAGUGUUCAAUCACGUACUUAAUUUGCUAUUGAAAACAUUUAGAAUUUAUCAACAAUUUAAUUAAGCAGGUGUAUACAACCUCCCAACAUUUGUAGAUAUCAUUGAAUCAUUAGUUAACACCAAGUAGACUGAGAUCGGAUCAAAAUGUGUCACUUAAGCUCUUAAUAUUACAGAAAACUUACAAUUGCCCUGAUGGUUAAUUAGCACAAAAGACCGGCUUGGAGUUCAGACUAGCCAAAUUGCCCAACUCUUUAAGCCUGAAUUUUAUCACCAUCAUAAAAUGGGAAAAUUAGUUUAGAUAUACAAGGCGAAAUGGAAUUAAUUACCUAACAAUUUGAACUUCAGAUUGGUCAUGCAUGACCACUUGCAGGUCCUCCUAGUGUUAGAACCACACCUUGAAGAUCACUUCUUGGAUCUGAUUCUUUGGCUAAUGAUGGAGCAGCUCUGAUUACCGGAUAUGUUCUGGUCACUUGAGUUUGUCGAGAACUAUGACUGGAUUGUCCUGAGAAUGUUUUUGGAUGAUGAGAAGGCUUCAAGGUAUCAGUAUGAAAUUCAUUCGAAGCACCACCCAGAAACCAGUGCUCAAAAAGCCCCUUUAUAAAGAUAACUAACAGAGAAGGUCACAGACAGCAGAGGAGGUCAGCAUCACCAUCGAUUUCCUUUCUCCAGAAGCAGGGGUUUACCACCACAUCAACACCCAUCUUCCCCGAUCUCUUCAUCUCCUUUAGCACUGAAGAGAAACCGAACGGUGGAGCAGAGAACACAGACAGCAGAGGAGGUCAGCAUCACCAUCGAUUUCCUUUCUCCAGAAGCAGGGGUCUACCGCCACAUCAACACCCAUCUUCCCCGAUCUCUUCAUCUCCUUUAGCUCUGAAGCUUCCUCCAGCAGUGGCCAACACACGGCAGCCCCUACAAAACCAAAAUGAGAUAAAUCUCAAAGAGAAAGAAAGACUCGAACUUGUGUAGCAGAUCUGGACCGAGAUCCAGCCGCCAUCAGCUCUGGCGAUGCCUAACAACCAGAUGUGCUACAGGGAUGAACUCUCGGGCAACAAACAGUGAUAGACUCGAAAGAAGCCAAUCUAAAGGAGGAGAAGGAAAAAAACGCAGAUCUGUGAAAAAAAGACAAUAAUCGAAACUCAAUUAAGAAGAAAUCAUCGCACAAACAAUCUCCCGGACCGGUUGUUGAUUUGGAUCCUUUCCCAAUUGAGGAUGGAAGACUACGGGAAAGAGGAGAUUGGUUGGGGUGGGGAUUGAAGCUGUGAUUUGGGAUCGGUUCAGUUUAUCAAGCAGACUUCAAGAGGUAAGACCCUAUACAAUAACAGUAACAACAAAGAGAACUUUUCAACCCAGCCAUGGAGGGGAAAGCUCUCUCUCAAAAAGCCCAGCCACCGUUCCAGACAAACUUAAUUCCUUCUCACAAACACAAAAAAGAACUUGACCUUCCAUACAAGCCAUAUUACCCCCAGCCUCAGCUACCAUCCAUCACCUUAAACACUCAGACUUCAACAAACUACCGUGAUUUUCAACUACAAUGUUACUUUGAAAACUUCCUAAGUUGGGUCGAUUACCAUAAGCUUAAAGACUGCUUCAGAAAACAGGGGAAAGUUAUUAAGCUGUUUGUUUCUCGAAAAACAAAUCAAGCAGGAAAGCAUUUUGGCUUCGUCACCAUCCUCUCGAAUCUGUCAGACAAAACUCUGCUAGAAUGCUUAAAUGACAUAUGGUUUGAUUCCUACAAGCUGAGAGUUAAUGUGGCUAAGCACAGAAGAAAAGAUGUAGUGACGAAACAGAAAAUAAUGGGAACCGGGAAACAAAUACCCAAGCUCAACAACAAAGCCAAGGCCCCCAUCCGUGUAAGAGACAACCGAAGCUAUCUUGAGGCAGUAAGAUCAGGGAGUCAAGUGCAUCAAGCGUCUGAUAAUGCCACACCACGUCAUCAUAACUUCAUUUCUUUCAACACUACAGAUGAGGAAAUUCUAUGGUUAAGAAAUAGUCUUAUAGGCAAGAUAUCUCAGGGAGUAGAUUAUGCACAAAUCAGACAUGGAUUAAUUCAGCUAGGCAUUUGCUUCUCUGCUUUCCGUUUCCUAGGGGGAUCACAGGCAAUCAUAAGCUUUGAUGGUGAGAAAUCUAUGCAACAAGCCAUGCAGAAAGGUAUGGAAUGCUGGAGGCUCUACUUUGAUGAAGUUCACCCGUGGACUGAAGAAGAUGUGACAGAGAGUCGUCUAGCAUGGAUCUCUAUCUCUCAUUUGCCUAUCUCUGGCUGGAGUUUGAGAUGUAUCUCAAACCUUCUCAUGAACCGUGGACGGGUGAUAGGUUUUGACAAAACCAGCCUAAAAAUCUCUGAACUUCACAGUGUGAAAAUCCUUAUAGGUACUCACUUGCCGGAGAUCCACGACUCUAUAGCUCUCAUGCUAAACUCCAAGUUAGUACACAUAUAGCUGGAUGAGAUUGACCUUUUAAGAUAUCCAGAGGCAAAAGGAAUUUCAUACUCGAUGGCAGAAUUUCAAACCACAUUACUUCAGGGAGAUAGUGCUGACAGUGACUCAGAUGAUGAAGUGUACACUGAUCUUGCUUUUGACUUGGCAGGAGAUGACAACAUUUGCAGGCUAGGUAUCACUGAUAAGAAUUGUGGAUCUGAUGACAAGGGACACACGAUGGAGGUAAGGAAGCACAACCCAUAUGGGACACAUGAGGUGUACGAUCAUAGCUUUGCGUCCACAAUAAAUGCCAUUGACAACACAGAACGGCUACAUAUCGUUGUUGACGAUCUCUUUUACGAUGUGAAUUCAGCAAGCCCACUAGAGCAUCCAAGCAUGGCUUUCAAAAGAGACUCCUUCUUGCCACAACCUUAUACCCCUGUUAGCAGUGAUGAUUCUUUAGAAUCCCACUUCAAAAUCCAAAGCCUACCUCUUACAUCUAACCAACAACAGACCCCAACAGCCAAACAACCAAGACUAAAGAAAAUAUCCUCUACUAGGAGUCUCCUCUCCUUGCACUCUUCAGCAAGCAUGUCUUCUAUAGACUCUUACAUCAGGGUGAAUAAUACCCGUAACCUGAAAGAAUAUGCAGCGGAAUCGUCCCACAAUGAAGUCAACAAAAUGAUCCGUUUGGGAGAAGCUUUGGGUCUUGGUAAUUCAGCUCUCUUGGAACAAUUUUCUGGUCUUAUCAUAAGACAGCUAGAAAAGGAGAAGGAAGAUUGGCAGAAACAACAAUGAAUAGUAAGUUUUCAUCCCCUGCAGAUAGGCCUUUUAAUUCUGUCAUGAAUAUUCUUUCUUGGAAUUCCUGUGGCUUGGGCAUGAUGAGGAAACGAAGAAGAAUCACGAAAUUAAUAGCAGAAUAUAAGAUUGAUAUAUGUUUCAUGCUGGAAACUAAGCUAGCUAAUUGUUCCAUUGGUUUUGUAUCUCGUAUUUGGAAUGAAAAUCAUGUGAGUUGGUUUAGUAAUGAUGCUCAAGGAUCAAAAGGAGGUCUGCUUGCUAUGUGGAAAAACACUAACUUUGAAGUCUCUAAUAUUGAAUAUGGUCAUGGUUGGAUCGGUUUAUAUGGUAAACAUGUUCACAGUGAUUUUCAUUGCUUUGUUAUUGGCAUCUAUGCUCCUUGUAACUAUCAGGACAGACAAAAACUUUGGGAGGAUCUCAUUCUUCUGAAGCAUGCUUUUGAAGUUCCAUGGAUAAUAGCAGGAGAUUUUAAUGAAACGCUCUCUCAGAAAGACAGAAACAGUGGAAUUUGUCAUCCUGCAGGCUCAAAUUCUUUUAGCAGAUUCCUGCAGUCUUGUGAGCUCACUGAAUACCCUUUAGCAGAAGGUUAUUUUACCUGGUUUAGAGGAAGGUCCAAGAGCAAACUAGAUCGAAUGUUCGCAAGCUCAACCUACCAUCUUCACUUCCCCAGUUUAUCUCUUCGACGACUUCCAAGAGAGUUCUCAGAUCAUUGCCCUCUAAUUCUAUGUAGCUUCUUGCAAGACCAUGGAUGGCGUCCUUUUCGUUUCUUGGACUGUUGGACUCAAUACCCAAAUUUCAAGCACAUUAUUGAAAGCUUCUGGAAUGAUGCAUGCUCCCUUCACCCUGGCCGCUUUAAAUUUCUCAAAAAGCUUAAUCAUAUUGCAGUCAAAUUGAGGCAAUGGAAUAAGCUUGUAUUUGGAAAUCAAGAAGCUGGCCUUCAACGAACCCUUUCAGCUAUCAACAUACUAGAGGAAAAAUGUGAAGAAGAAGGUUUAACCGACCAAGAGCAGGAGCAUUUAGACUUUUUGUUGAAAGACCGCUGGGUUCGCAACAAUCACAUUGAAUCUAUUUGGAGGCAGAAAUCAAGACAGAUGUGGUGCAAAUUGGGUGACAGAAAUAACAAGUUUUUUCACAUGAUUGCCAAUUUCAGGAAGGCUAAAUCAUCAAUACUUAAAAUCCACCAUAAUGGCAACACUUUUGACUCUCAGCAGGGAAUUAAGCAGGCUGCUGUGGAUUAUUUCUCUGAGCUGUAUGACUCUCCCUCUGGUAAAAAGCCGCAGUUAAAUCCUUUGGGUUUCAAAUGUCUCUCUAAAGAAUCCUCUGAAUGGUUGGAGCAAGAAAUCACAAUGGAAGAAGUGAAGCGCGGUGUAUGGGGUUGUGAUGGGUCAAAAUGUCCUGGACCAGAUGGUUUCAACUUCAAAUUCUACAGAUUAGCAUGGGAUUUUAUUGCUCAAGACAUUCUCGAUAUAGUCUUAAGCUUCUUCAGAACAGGAAGGCUUCCCAAAGGAAUCAAUACAACCUACGUAACUCUCCUCUCUAAGACAGUCGAACCCAUUGAGUUUAAAGAUUUUCGGCCCAUCAGCAUGAUUCAUGGUAUUUAUAAGAUCAUUGCUAAAAUCCUUGCUUCUAGACUGAAAGUUGUUAUGCAAGAUAUCAUUAGCAUUAACCAAUCAACGUUUAUAGCAGACCGUAACAUUAUAGAUGGCUUUAUGAUUGCAAAUGAGCUGGUGAAUGAUCUAAAAAAGCAAAAAGCGGCAGGUUUGAUUUUCAAGAUUGAUUUUCAUAAAGCUUUCGACUCAGUCUCCUGGGAUUACCUAGAUGAUAUCAUGGGUUAUAUGGGGUUUGGUAGAAAAUGGAGAACCAUGAUUUAUGAAUGUCUUUCUUCAUCAAAACUCUCGGUUUUCAUCAAUGGAUCUCUUUCAAAAGAAUUCUCUGUUCGGCGAGGGCUGCGUCAAGGAGAUCCGAUUUCCCCUUUUCUGUUUGACAUAGCUGCUGAGGGCCUCUCUGUACUCUUUCAAAGGGCAUCUAGUGGGAAUAUUAUCAAAGGGCUGCAAUUUGCAUUAGGAAUUUUUGUCAGCCAUCUUCAAUAUGCAGAUGACACAUUAAUAUUCAUCCCAGCAGAUAUUGAUCAGUUAGUUCAAGUCAAAAGAAUUUUAAGAUGGUUUGCUCUGUCUUCAGGCCUUCAUAUAAACUUCCAUAAAAGAUCCAUUAUUGGUAUCAAUGUCGAUGAUCACUUGUGCUUGCGCUUGGCUACAUCUAUUUUCUGCAGAUCAGACUCCCUCCCAAGCAAAUAUCUUGGCAUGCCAUUAGGAGCCAAUCCAUCUCGUAUCUCCACAUGGAAGCCAGUGAUAGAGAAGUUUCGUAAAAGGCUUCAUAUAUGGAAGGGGAGACUACUAAGCAUGGCUGGUCGUCUAUGUCUCAUUAAAAGUGUCCUUAAUUCCCUGCCUAUAUAUUUUAUGUCUGUAUUCAAGAUGCCAAAAGGGGUAGGCAGGCUUCUUUCAUCCAUCCAAAGACGUUUCUUGUGGUGUGGAUGUACCAAGCAAAGAUCUUUCUGCAAGAUCCAAUGGAGAAUAGUGAUGCGCGAUAAGAAACAAGGAGGCCUCGGUGUAGGCUCCCUUAUAUCAAAAAACAGAGCCCUGCUUCUAAAAUGGAUUUGGAGACUCUCUUCCCCAGGUACAAGCUUAUGGAAAAUGAUUAUCUCUUCAAUGUACAAUCCAUCUUAUGAGAAUGGGAUCCCAAUUUUCUACAACCAACCAUCCAAGAUAUGGAAGGAUAUUAUGUCCAUCGUUCAAACCGACGUUCACCAAGUCUUCACGAAUCAUUGCAAAUUCAUGGUGGGGAAUGGCAAUUUAACAUCCUUUUGGCUAGACAGCUGGAUUGGUGACGACCCUCUCAAAACAGCCUUCCCAAGGCUAUAUCUUUUGUCUUCCUCUAAAACUGCUUUGGUGGCUGACAUGGGUAGAUGGAGCAAUGGAAUCUGGCUCUGGUCCCUACAAUGGCGCAGACCUCUUUUUCAUUUUGAACAAGAACAACUAUCACUUUUAUCAUCCUUGCUGGAAUCCAAGCCAAUGUUCUGCCACAAGAUGGAUAAGAAAAUCUGGACCCUCAACAACGAUGGCCUCUUCAGUGUAAAAUCUUGCUCCAAAAUGAUGGACCAGUUACUCUACGGUGGAGCCAAACCAUUCCAAUCUUCUGUUUGGAUAAAACUAACCCCACCAAAAGUGCAGCUUUUCCUUUGGCUCCUUGUCCAAGACAAAGUAACCACAAGAGAUUUCCUAUUUCAACGCGACUACCUCUCCCUUCAGGAGUCAAGAUGUGCUUUCUGCAAUAAAAGCUUGGAAUCUUCAAGUCACCUCUUCAUUCACUGCCACUUCUCUUGGAAUAUAUGGAUGAAACUGUUUUCUAAUCGGGGCUUUUGCAGUGUUUUUCCAAAAUCUGUUGAUGAUAUGUGCUACCAAUGGUCUUCUAUGGUUAAAGGCAAGCAACAAAAUCUCUCAUGGCAACUUCUUUUCUCAUGCGUUGUUUGGAAUCUUUGGCUUCAUCGAAAUGAUGUUAUUUUUAAUGACGCUGCCCCUAACCAUCAAAUCUGUUUCUCCAUGGUGCGCCAAAGUAUUGCUUUAUGGUUGAGGCUUGACUCCAACUCUUUCGAGCUUAACAUAGAGAAUGUUUAGUCGGGAGGAGUUGGUUUCUUUUGAUUUGUCUGUUCUCCUUUUGUUGUUAUCCCCUGUUUCAUGAAACAGUUUUUGUGCUUCCCUUUCCUCUGCUUGUUCUUCUGAUGUAAGUUAGGCUACUAUCUUUGUAGCUUUUUCCUUUUAAUAAAAUUUCGACUAUUAACAAAAAAAAAAAAAAAAGGUAUCAGUAUGAUUGGAGUUUGGAAAUUGAUGAACAAUGGGGAUUGGAGUUGCUGGUGAUGCAUGAUUUUGAGCUAGAAUUGCCCCUCUCGAUACGAAACCAGGUGCCUGAUAGAUAAAAUUAGGUUUCAAUACGAGUUCGAAAUAUACUGCAAAUGAGGGAAGUAAUGAGGAGCUUACAGGUGAAAACAAGACCCCUCUGAAAAUCUUCCCAUUAACAGUUGCAGUCAUUAGAAGGCCUAAGUCGAAGGCUCCGUCAACUUUACCUCGAACUUCAGCACCAACCUAUGGAGAAAGAGAAGAAAGUGAAAAGCAAGUAUUAGCAGAACAGGAAGGAAGACAGACAAAAAAAUUUGUAAUUGACAAUGUUUUGCAUUGCAUAUAUCAACUUAAUGAUUUACCAGGUUUUGAGUACACCCUGGCUCCAUGGAUCUAUGUUCCACUGCUGGGAAUGGUGUUCCUUGCCUGCCAAACCCUGCAUGAACAUAUUGUUCUACUCUUUUAUUCUCUUGAAACUUGGAGCCUGUGCCGGGUUUUUUGGAUCACAAGUCUAGGUAGUUUCUGAUUACAUGCAACACUAUCAGCCUGGUAAUUUCUUGGAAUUUUGUAUAAUUAAAUAAUCUAAUCUUAAACCACUACUCCAAUUGUUGAUAUAAAAGUUUAAAACCGAUCUAAUUAAAAGAAUUCAAAAUUAAGUGUGAAAAAUAACUAAAAUAAAAAAUUAAUUCAAAUAACAAAAACAAAAUCUUUUGCAUCUGAUUUGAGAAAAUUUAUGUGGUGGAUGACCGAGCCUGUAAAAUUAUAUGAUAAAAUUUAAGUAUAAUUUAAAAAUUAAAUUUAAAAUUAUUUUUAUCAGGUUUUAUGUCUAAUGUGUUGAAUUUGUUUAUGGAUUUCUAUUCAGGCUUAAUCAUAAACGUCUUUGUUUACACGUCAUAAUUAAAGCAUAAAAUGUCGUGUAAGCCGAUGCUUGACUUUUUUAAAAAAUAAUUUAGUUUCGGUUGACUCACAAAAUUGAGACAUCUAGCUAGUCACUCAUGGCUUUAGACGUACCUCUUGUAAAGAUAUCAACGGCUUUACGUCUACCAAGUGUCAGAAGAUUAGAGAUUGAUAUUGUUAGAAUGUUGUUAAUAUUGUUUGUUAGCUAAGAGAGUUUGUUAGUAUUGUUUCAGUGCUAAGAGAAAGAACAGAUACCGUGUAUUACCUUUCUAAUAUAGCCUAUAUAAACUGAGGAUUAGUGAUGUGAAAAUAAUGAAAGAAAAAGUAAUAAUAAAACAGUGCGAGACUUCAUCUUCUGCUUCUCUGUAACAGAAUUAUUCUAUAUUCUUCUUCCUUUCUAUUCUCUGCACUUUCUUCAUUUCUGCUCCUUUUCUGUAUAAAUUCUACCGUCUAUCAUGGUAUCAGAGCAGUAACUGGUCCGAUGGGAUGUCUUCUGAUUGUCAAGAAUUAUACUGGCGAUCGUCUAAAUUUUGGUUUGGCUGCUAAGCAAGCAAAAUCUGAAGGUUAUAAAGUAGAGACUGUAAUUGUUGGAGAUGACUGUGCUUUACCUUCACCUCGAGGCAUAGCUGGACGAAGAGGGUUGACGGGGACUAUUCUUGUUCAUAAGGUUGCUGCAGCUGCAGUUACUGUUGGCCUUUCUCUUGAUGAAGUUGCUGCAGAAGCGAAACGUGCAUCUGAAAUGGUUCUAAUAUCUUGCUAAUCUCUGUUUCUGUAGAGAGAGCAAUACGGUCUCUUAAGAUUCAUACUUCUCAACAAGCUUGCACAAAGAGUCACUAAAUUGCUUUUGGCCACUUGCCAGAGCAAGUACGAUAGUCUUCUCCAUCAAAUCCUGAAGAAGAUCAAUAUAUAACAAAGAGUCGCCGCCAAUGUAUUACCAGCAGCCAUUAAUCUCUGUUUCUGGCAUUAUUAUCUCCUUAUCUACACAAUUCUUUCAUAAUAAUCGAUAUGUCUAUCAUUUGUUUGAUAUAUUGUCAAACUGAAAAAUUCUUCUUCAAAUCUUCAACUUUCUGCAAGAUUCUUCCUUCUCAAUCUUUGAUUCUCUUCUUUUCUAUCUCUUGCACUCUAAAAAUGGCGACUACUUCUCAACUUCAGAUAGUUCAACUCUAAUAAGAGAAUAUACACAUAAACGUUUUCUUCUUCCUCUACACUACAUAAUUUCUCUCUGCUUCUCUUCAUCUCUAUUCUCUGCUUUUCUUCUCUUCAUCUAUAUUGCUUCUAUUCUCUGCUUUUCUAUUGCAGUAUCUCCCUCUAAUUCUAUUCACUUCUUUGUUCAUCUCUGUGACGAUUCUUGCUAGCUUUUCAAAAUAUUUCUUCUAUCUCCAUUGCUUCCAAUCCAGUGUUCCAUUCCAGGAUGAAACAUCUCCAGAUCGAUUAUCACUUUGUUAGGGAACGGGUUAUCAAGGGUGAUUUACUGGUCCAGCAUGUCUUCUCUACUGAUCAGUUUGCUGAUAUCCUCAUCAAAGGUCUUUCCAUUUCUUUGUUUCAGCAUCAUUGUUCCAAUCUCAUGCUUGGCUCCUCCAAGCCUGCGAUUGAGGGGGCAUGUAAAGAUAUCAACGGCUUUACGUCUACCAAGUGUCAGAAGAUUAGAGAUUGAUAUUGUUAGAAUGUUGUUAAUAUUGUUUGUUAGCUAAGAGAGUUUGUUAGUAUUGUUUCAGUGCUAAGAGAAAGAACAGAUACCGUGUAUUACCUUUCUAAUAUAGCCUAUAUAAACUGAGGAUUAGUGAUGUGAAAAUAAUGAAAGAAAAAGUAAUAAUAAAACAGUGCGAGACUUCAUCUUCUGCUUCUCUGUAACAGAAUUAUUCUAUAUUCUUCUUCCUUUCUAUUCUCUGCACUUUCUUCAUUUCUGCUCCUUUUCUGUAUAAAUUCUACCGUCUAUCACCUCUAACUUCGCUUACUAUGCUUAUUAUGCAAAGCAAUUAUUUUCAAGCUUGUGGAACGGGGUGUUCCUCCAUCUUCUUGUUUAACUGCUUUCUUCAUAAACUUGGGAAGUCAUGUGUUAUGAACAAUUGAUUUGAUCUUGUGAAAUAUAUGGCAGAAGAGAUUAGAAAAUGACUUCUAUUAUCAAUAAUUUCUUCUUCCUUGUGAAAUGAUUUCCCGAUACAGCUCUUAAUUUCAACACCUGCUUGCUCUUCUUUUCUUAGUAGACCUGGGAAGCAAAGAUUCCUAAUUAUCCACAUCAUCAAUCGCGAUCCCAUCAAAAAUGAAUUUGGUGGAAGAAAGAAAAACAAAUUGAAAGAAAAAUUAUCAAUUAAGAUUUCAUGUCGUCACAAAAAACAAUUACGAGCUUCAUAAGAUAAUUUUAGCUAGUUUGUCUUAAACUCAUUAGAACAUCCUUUAAUCUUCAACUGCUGUCAUUUGAGAUUUCAUGUUUGUGUUUUCAAUUAAGAUUACACAUCCAUUUGUCAGAAAUACGCACCAAUAUUCCUUAUUACCUAACCUUAAUCCUGUAAUUCUGAUUCUGAACUGCUCUUUACACUCCUUUUCCAUCGAUCAAUACAGAUCAAUCUUUAUUAUUUGCUCCAGGUUGCUGCUGCUGGUUACUCUGUCAUGGAUUAUUAUUUUUCAGUAGUCAGUUAUCCUAGUGCUUGCUUGGACAUGCUCAACAAUGGAGUUUCUCUAAAUGUAAUUCCCACAGUGAAAUCUUCUGUCAAAGUCAUUUCAAGCCGGAAAAGAUCAGGAAAAUGCAGUCUUGAAACAUCAAGCGAAUAGUGCCCAGCAGGAAAAAUUCGUUUCUACUAACAAAUGGAAUGUAAAGUUGAUCCAAGGAUGCUACUAACUUACAAGAAAUUAAAUCAUCAAAGAAAAAAUAUCCACUAGAAGAAGUGUUCUUUCCUUCUAUUUAAAAAGAAUUCGAAAUUUUACUAGACCCUAAUAACAUGAAGUAAAUCUGUUUUUUUUACUCUUGGCUUGUUCUCAAAAAUUUUAUUGAUAUUAAUUAAAUAACAAAGACAAUGAUGUAGCUAGUAUGAACUAUGAAAAUUGAGAACGAGAGGGAUGAUCAGGAAUGGAUUAAGAAAAAUGGGCUUGAAAGAGACCCAACAGGAGAGAAAAAUCUAAAAUAAACUCUUGAUGUCUUUCAUAACUCAAUUUUUGACUCUUUUUAUUUUAUUAUUAUUACUAUUAUUUUAUUUAUUGAAAAAUGAUAAUAAAAAAAAUAAUGAUGAAAAGAAAAUAAAAAAUGAAGAAUAAAUUAAAAUUAGGUUAAGGCAACAUGAUUGGAAGUUUUGGGGAUUAAUUAAAGUUUGGAAUUAAUUCAAUCAAGGGUUUAAUUGGAGAAUUGAUAAGUUUUGAGAUUAAUUGAGUUUGGAAUUAAUUGAAUUAAUGAAAAUCAAGGAUUUAAUUAGAGAAUUGACAAGUUGUUAGACUUAUUUGAACUUGGAAUUAAUUUAUUCAUGGACUUAAUUGAAAAACCAUCAAAGUAUAGGGCUGAUUAUGGUCAAAUUUGCAAGAAAUUAAAACCCAAGGACCAAUGUGUAAAUGGCGCUGAGAUUCAGGGGUUCAAUUACAAUUUACCCAAGGACUGGACUGCAAAAAGUCAACAUGUCUAGGAUGAAAACGCAAAAGGCCAUUAACAUCAGCACUGUUCAUCUUCUUCACCCGAAAACGCAUGCCUUUAUUGCAUUAAAAUCCAUGCAACCGCAUGGCAUUCUCUGGUUAUAAAAACCAGAGAAGGAGAACGAGCACCAGGUUAGAGAGGGGGAGAGGAGAAAAUAAACAGACUUUCAUUCCUCUGUUUCUUCUUAAGGAAACAGAGGAGGUUAAAGAAAAAAGCAACAAACAGGAGGAAAAAAGAGCAAAACCGGGGGGAAAAAGGGAGAGAAGACAGAGAGAGUGAGCGACCGAAAAGGGGAAAACAAAAGGAAAAACUGAGAGACAGGGGAGAAAAGGCAGAACCGAGGGGACUAAAGGGGGGGAAUAAAAGAAGAAAACAGAGGAGACAAAAACCGGGGAGAGGGGGAGACACAGAAUCAGUUUCAACCAUCUCUUCACCAUCUUCAACAACUCUUCAGCCUCCAGGAACCCAGACAGGAGAAGAAACCCCAUCGACUUGCUUUGGGAAGACGCAGAGUUACAGAAUAGAGAGCGGAGAAGCAUACGAAAAAAAGAGGGGGGCAAGCUUCCAUUCAACCGACAGCACCUAGCAUCUUCAUCACCAUCGUUGAUGUCCUGAGCAGAGGAAACACAGAAGGAAGACCAAGGAAAGCAGUAGACAAGAGUCACCACCAGCGUCACCACUGUUUUUGUCGCCUCCAGAAGCAGCAGCUUCAGAUCUCCAUCUUCAGUAGCCACUGCACCAGAAACAGGGCACUCCAGGAGAGAAAUACAGGGAAGAACCGGGGAAGAAAAGGAGAAAGAGAAGGAAGAAGAGAGGAAGAACAAGAGGUGGCAGCGCCGUUCGUCCAGCGCAGUGCGCCAUCGUCUCCGGCUACGCCUUGCUGCACCAGGUAAGUCUUCUCUCGUCUCUCCCCUCCUGCGUUAUAUUUCACUUGCCACUCUAGCAAGUGAAUUAUAAUUAAUUCACUACCCAACCGGGUCACUGGCUUCGGCCAGUGACCAGACCAGGAAUGUUGGGUCUACCUAGCCAUGUAGGCUGGAUCAGACCCAGCCCCACAAAAAAAAUAAAAAAAAUAAAAAAAAAAACAAAAAAAAACUAGAAAGUGUAGAAAUAAAAAUUUUACAUGUCUUAGGAAAAAUGUAUUUUUGUCAAUUUAUUCACUGAUAUUAGGAUCAGAAAUAAAAAAAAAUAUAUACUGAUUUUUUUUUAGCUAUGAAUUUCUACACCAGAGUUGGAAUUAUUCAUGGUGGAAUUUUUACCAACGCUAGAUUUGGAAUUAUUCGUGGUGGAAUUUUUAAACUCUAGAGUUGGAAUUAUUUGGGGUAGAAUUUUUACCAACACCAGAGUUGGAAUUAUUUGAAAUCGAAUAUUCACUGACACUAAAGUCAGGAAUAUUAUAAACAAAUCAUCAUAGCAUAAGCGAAUAAAUGUUUAGUAAUUUAAGACAAAACCAGCAAUGCAGUCUGCCUCAGGCAGAACAUUUAAAGGGUGAUAAUAUCUUCCCUUUUACAUAACCAAUCCCGAACCAUAGAAUCUCUGUUGACUAGUUAGGGUUUCUAGUGGCGACUCCUUAAACAAGAUUUUUUUCCCCUAAAAGAACAAGAUGCCAGAAAUCUAUUUUUUAUUCUUUUUCCAUAAUGAAGAUUAUUUUUAGAGCCGCCGGGUGCGACAAUGUUUAAAAUAGCCUAGAAGUAGGGCUUAGAUAGCUAGGGCUGAGAAAAUUGCCAAAAUAGGUAAAUACUGAUUAUUCAAUAAAUAAAUAAAAUAUUGCCUUGUUUUAAGUUUAGACUUAUGUUCUUUCAGCAAACAAAAUUAUUGUAGAACCACAUUCCACCUUGCUGGUAUGAUCCUGUGGUUCUAUCAAUUAUUUUAUUAAUUGAGAAAAUACUGUAAACUAUUACAAUUGUGAAUAAAUUCCAUAUUAUUAGGGAUAUAGUAAUCACAAGAAGCCAAGAAAUCUAAGAGCAAAACGCAACAUAAUUAAGACAUAACAAACAAAUAUGGAUACAAGCACAAGAACAAACACAAGUCACAUCAAAACAGAAAGGCUAAGCAACAAGAACCGGACACUUCGACAGAACACUUCUCACAGGCAAAUUGCUAAACAUGCAGUGAUCAACCCUUGAUUUGGAAUGCGACUGCAUCCCCAUAGAGGAUCACAACAAAUUCAGAAAGCAGCCCACACGCUGAUAAGACCCAAUCACCUUUUGAAUCUGGACAACUUGCGAAAGUUUAUAGCCAAAAAGCAGUAGCAAGUGUCAAUGCACUCUUCAAUGAAGUAAAACCACCUGCGUCGCCAAUGCGGAUUUAUGCACAGUACUGCUGCAAUUGUCAACACCACAAUUAUGUAAAACACACCAAAGCUGGCAUAGAAACUGUCCAUGUCUAUUAAUCCAUCAUCUCCAUUGGAAUUGUUAGGCACUCUCACUGAUGGUGAUUCUGUUUUGUCGCAACUGUUUUGCAAUGGAGGUCCACAAAGAAGAGGAUUCCCUUUAUAACUGCUCUCAUCAAAGGUAGCAAAUUGAUAUUUCAUCUCCGGUGUUCUUCCUGACAAAUUAUUGUACGACACGUUGAAAACUGCUAGAAAGUUCAGUUCAACGAGUUGUGCAGGAAUUCUCCCAUUCAAGUUGUUGUGAGAAAGAUCCAAGCUCUCUACGUGCUUCAGAUUGGAGAAAGAUGAAGGGAUCAAUCCCGUGAGAUUAUUUUGUGACAGAUUUAGAGCGAAUAUGUCACUUAAGUUUCCCCAUUCUGUCGGGAUUUCUCCAGUGAAUCUAUUACAAGACAGAUCCAUAGCAGACAUGUAACGAAGGAUAUCGCCCUCGUAAGUGUAGAAAUUUUUCUUUGCUGUAAGCUCUACAGCUAUUUUUACAUCAAUCUCUGGCCACAUAGUUUUGCUAUCAAUAUGAAAACCUCUGUUACCCAAUUUUCUCCCCCCUAUGGAUGCCAAUAUUUCUUUCUGGCUUCCAUCAUCUUCUGACACCGUAUCUGUGACGACCAAAGUUUUUUCACCCGAUGCCGUAAAAUUUAAAUUGCUUAAACAUAAGGGUAACGGACCAGAAAAAUUAUUUUCUGAAAGAUCCAAUAUGCUUAAUUUCCUUAACAAGCAUACCUGAACAGGAAGUUCCCCAUUGAAUUGAUUAGAUUUCAGAAGAAGAAUGCUCAAUUUCGAUAGUCUAUCAAUCCAAUUUGGAAUUGGCCCAGUUAAGUUGUUAUUGCCAAGAUCUAAUGUCACCAAAUGAGAGCUAUUAUAAAAAGCAUUUGGCAGUGGACCACUCAAUCGAUUUCUGUAUAGGUGGACAUAGCGUAAAUAUGGUGUUUGGAAGCCCAACGACAAUGACCCAGACAGAUUGUUUUCAGAAAGAUCUAAAAAUUCAAGCAAAUAACAUCUGAAAAGCUCUAUUGGAAUGGUACCUUCAAAAUGAUUUCUGGACAAGUCAAUUCCCUGCAAGAAUAUUGAAGAGUUCCCAAUUCCCUUUGGAAGCGUGCCUGACAAAAGAUUGUUACUGAUAUCAACCAACCAAAGUGAUGAUGCAAGAGAAAAGGUGCCAGAUACUUGUCCAACAAAUUUGUUUCCAUCUAGAAAGAGGUAACGCAGGUGAGUCAUGUUGAAAACAAAAGGCGGUAAUCGCCCUUUGAAAUUGUUAUUGGACAGCUUCAAAAACCACAACGAGGAGCCUCCUGUAGGCAAGUUAUGCUCAAGUAGUUCACAAGUCAUAUGAUUGUUGGAAACAUCCAAGUAUGCGAGAGAGCUCAUAUUCCCAAAAGGAGGAAUGCAACCUGUAAGGUUGUUGUUAGCCAUCAAGAAGUUCUUCAAACGUGGAAAAAUCAAACAUGUGUUUCUUGCAAUUUGACCAUGGAUGUUGUUGUCAGAAAUAUCUACUGUCCGAAGGUUGGGUGUUGGAUGUUGUGGCAACUGCAAAGGACCUGUAAUUGAGGUGUCUCUCAAAUAUAAUCGAUUUAACAUUCUAUUAUUCUCAACCAGCCAUGAUGGGAAAGGUUGUCCAAUGAAUUUGUUGUGGGAUAGAUCAACAAACAUCAAAUCAUAUUGGCUAUGGAGGAAGUUUGGAAAUCCAGCCUUGAGUGGUUUUGAAGUACAGUUUGAAGCACUGAAAAAACGAAGCUGGAACUUGGUAGCUGAAGGCUGAAAACUGGGUGCAGGUAUUAGCUCAUUGUUAUCGCAUGCAAUGAACUUGAGGUUGGAGUGGUUCAUAAAUGAACCAAAAGAUAUUGGAACUUGAAAGUAAUUAUUUGAAACUGAGAGGUAUUCAAGCUGCGUAAGAUGGGAGAGGUGACUAAAGGCAAUAUUUCCCUCCAAUUGAUUGUCAGAUAAAUCCAAGAAUUGUAGAAAUGAUAGAUUUCCAAGACAAGGAGGGAGCAAGCCCGUUAGUUUGUUUCCUGAGAGAAAUAGCUGUUCAAGAUUCGUCAGUUCACACCAGCCUGCACAUUAUAUCCAUAUGUUCAUGUCAAGGGAAUAGGAAUAUAUCAAUUAUGUACUAUUCGUUGAGAGAUCUAUUCGAAUACAAGUUUAUUAGCGAUUUAAUUUACCUUGGUGAGGCAGGGUGCCAUUUAGCAUACAGCUUUCCAGAGACAAAAUUCUGAGAGCAGGAAACGGUCCAAUAUUUAGAAGAAAACUUGCUGUCAUGGGAGAAGCUCGAUCCAGGAAUAGCUCUUCAAGUUUGGUGAAAUUCUGCGGUCCUAAAGGAUUAAGAAAGGUGCGUUCUUAAUAUCAUUUGAGUUGAGAUUGAAGGAAGCGGAAACAUAAAGGGAUUGGGUUAUUAAAAAAAAAUUAUUAUGGGAAAUUAAAAUCAUUUCCGACAUAAAUUUCUAUUUUAUUGAUCCAUAUGUAUAACCAGCUUAUAAAAGGAAAAACGGAGAAAUUUUUGUUGAUAAAAUUACUAAAUAUCGUCAUAAACGUAAUGGUUUAAUAACAUGAAAAUUCUUUUAUUCUUUCAUGGGAAAUUUUUAGAUUCAUCAUUUGACACAUAUUUUUGCUAUCCGAAGAAAGGAGCUUGAGAUUUGAGUGGUUCAUAAAUGAUUCAACUACUUAACAAAACUGGGACUUGAUUGUAAGACACAUCCACCAGUUGUAAUAGAUGACAAGUUUCUCAAACAAGUUGUGAUGAGGGACACGUAUCUACAAGUUUAAACUCAGAAAGAAGUCUGAAUGUGUCAAAUAAUCUUUUAAUUACCUUGAGCAGGUCCGGUGCCAUGGAAGUCAGCUCUGGUCAAGGAUAAAACUUUAAGAGUAGACAAGGGUCCAAUGUUCCGAAGAAAGCUUGUUGGGAGAGAAGAAUAAUCGAGGAACAUUUCUUCAAGGCUAGUCGAAUUACACAAUCCUGUGGAACAGAUAAGAUAAAUCCAUUAAUGAAAGUGAUAUAUAAAUAUCAUGUUUUAGGCUCCAAACUGUAACUGACCUUUACCAGAGUGUAUUCCUUUAAAUUUGCUCCCAGUAGCAUAUAAGCUCUUGAGGGAUGGCAACGCUCCCAAUGACUCUAUCAAAAUGCUUUCCUUGAAGUCAAUUAUUUCCAGAUACAAGAUUUCUAAAUUCCUCAAACCUGUGAUGGAGAGCACAAUUAAUAAUAAUGGCUUUUUUAUUUUUUAUUUUUUAUUUUUUCCUGAUUCCAAGUGGUACAGAUAUGUGUGUUCUACAAUUUGUUUUAUUUAUGUGUUGUCAUCUGGAAUAAUUUGGAGCACUAUCGUAGAAUGAGCAGGGGUGCAUGCAGAGUAAUUGAUCUAGCAGUUUCCGGCUGCUGUGUUCUACAAAUUUUUGUUCUUGACUUUUUGUUUGCUCUAUCUAGUUGGAAGUUUUAGCUCAAAAUUGUUGAUAUAAAUAAUUUCUAAUGUUAAAGAUUAAUAUAUAAUUAUUAUUAGAAACUUACCCAACAAUUUAAGUCUUUGAAUUAAAUUAAUUUUAAUAUGAUAUUAGAAUUUUAAUAACCAAAUGUUUAUGAAUUUAAAUCAUCUCACCUCCAUUCCUUUAAUAUUUUUUAAAAAAUAAUCAGCACUAGCGAAAGGUAUACCAUGUAAGAAUCCAUAACUAUUUCACUUGAAAAAAUAUGUUAAAGGAAUUAAUUAUAUAAAAGCAUUUAUAGGGCUUCAUUCAUCUGCUUGAUGAUUAAUGCACAGCUAAUUAUUAAAAAAGUUAACAAAAUAAUAAAUUAAGCCUCUCUAAGGAAUGUCAUCGAGGUAGGAAUGAUUUACCAUUGAGACCAAUUGAUCCUGUAAACUUAUUUUUUGAUAGAUGUAGAGAUUUGAGAGUUGAAAAACCACCGAGAGAUGAUAAAAUACUAUCGUUAAAUUUAUUGUCACUCAGUUCAAGUUCCUGCAAUUCCCUCAACCCUGAUGCUAGCUCGUGAAAACCUAUAAGAAAAUUGUCAAAAGCAAAAAAAUUAACAAAUAUAUAUAUUUCAACCAUCCAUUAUCCAUAAAAGUUCAAUGAAAUAUAAAUUUAUGUAUUAAUUUUUUAUAUACCAAUUGUUCCUGUGAACCUAUUGUUUGAUAGAUGUAGAGAUUUGAGAGUUGAAAAACCACCGAGAGAUGAUAAAAUGUUGUCGUUAAAUUUAUUGUCACUCAGAUCAAGUUCUUCCAACUUUCUCAACCCUGAAGCUAGUACUUGAAAACCUGAAAGAAAAUUGUCAGAAUAAAAAAGAUUACACCUGAAAUUUAUUUUUCAUUGAACUUUUUUGGAUAUUGGGAUAUUGUAUGAUAUAUAUACCCCAAUAUCCAUAAAAGUUAAAUGUAAAGUUACUUGAAAUAUAACUUGAAGUGUUAACUAAAAACAAUUGAACCUUGAUUCUCUAAGACACCAUCUAAUCGGUUGUCGCUUAAGUGGAGAAUCUCCAAUUCUUUGAAAGGCAGAAACAAAGAUGCAUUGAGAUCCAAGUCUUCGAAUGGAAAAGAACUUACACCUGAAAGAUGAAGUUCGAUCACUCGGUUUGUGGUGCUGUCGCACACAACCCUACCCCAGUUACAGCAAUUAAAAUGCUCUUUAUCCCAACCUUUUGAUAGAGGUAGUAUAGAUAACCCAGCAGUUGCAUGACUGAACCAAGCUUUUAUCUCUAAGAGACUAAUUCUCUCUUCCUCUAAACAACAAUGGCACCGCUCGUUGACGAAGGCCAGUGCCAUGAGCAGCAUCCACACCCACAUUUGCCUCAUCUUCAUAUUGACUCUCCUACUUGACAAAAUACAAUAGCAAUCAAGUUGUCUCUUAUAUACAAUUUUGUCCUCUUCAUGCAUUUGAUCGGACAGUGACAGUUAUCUGUAUCAUUGAAUUAAUUAUCCAAGGUAGACUUGGGCUUAAUUGAAUGGGAGAGUCUUCACGGACAGUGCUAGCCGUGGGCCCGCACCACGGCACAGAUCAACGUGGUUGUUGAUAUAUAUUUUUUUGUUAUACUAUCUUAUUAUUUAAUUCUUUUUUGUUUUUAUGUUUUAUGUUUCCCUGAUCUACUAUUGCAUUUAGUACCUUAACAAUAUGCAUUCAUUGCCAUCUAGAAUUUCAUUCAAUAGAGCGAUUAAUCAAGAAACUUAUUAUUGACUUUCAUUUAAAUUAGAAUACAUGAAUAAUUUAUGAGUUUGAAAAAUGUUAUCCAUCCAUAUUAAUUACACAAAUUUUAAAAUAAAUUGCAAUUAAGUUUUUCCAAACAAAUAUCAUUACAUAAGGAAUACGUACGUACUCAAGACAUAGGAAGCCAAGUUUCCAAGAUAAUCCAUUAUUCAAUUUUGUGAAUGAUGAAACUUUUCAAGAUAAUCCUUAUAUAAUAAGGUUUGAUCAAUUUUUUCGAGAUUGUGUUAUCAUAAAUCACAUAUCGUUUAAGUUUCCAGCUUAUAAUAAUAAUUUACACGAAUUAUUGGUGAGAAAUCUCCAAAAUCAUUUUAAAAAAGACAAAUCUAUAUGUCUUAUAGUGCUAUCUCUUUUUUUGUGUUUUCAAAUGUUUUUGUAUUAUGUGUACAUUAUAUCAUCUCUCAUACACAAAAUAUGAGACAUAAUAUUUUAUUUUUAGGAAAAAUCUAAUAAUCCCAUAAAUGAUCAAAUAUCAAUUUGCUUUCCCUAAAUAAUAUCACAUAUAUUAUUUCAAAAUAGUUUUAGAAAUUUGUUCAAUCAAGUCUGUACUUAAUUUUUCUAGGUUUAUAAUUGUAAUCACGUGUAUCAACUUCACUUUAGUUCUUAAUUUCUAAAACUUAAUUACAAUCAAGUCACAUUUAAUUAAUCAUCUCAUUUUAAUUUUUGAUCAAUGAUUUUUAAUGUGUGUGGCCAAUUGAGUUCUUAACAAGUUGGCUCAAAUAUAAAUAACAAUCAUAAAUAAAAUACAAUUAAACAAUUUAACAAUUUAACUUAUCAUUAAUUUAACAAAUUAAUUAAUUAAUAUUUGAAAAUCAAGUGCAAUAUUUAAUAACAUGUCAUAACCCUCUAAAUAUUAAAAAGGUCAUACAUGUUUUGACUUAACUUUUUAUUGACUAGUUUCUCAAAGUAAUUAUUAUCCCUUUAUUAAGAAUAUUUUAAUUUAGAUAUUAGAGCACAAAGUAUAUAUGUUCUAUCAAAUCAAAUUUAUUAUCAACAUCAUAGUCAUAGAUUAUUUGAAUAAGAUUUGAAACUCUUUACAAAUCUUAUUACACCUUGCACAAUGAUUUCAUAGUCAAUACUAUUUGUCGCACGUGUAUGGCAUCGCGGCGAUCGUCCACCCUCAAGGAAAAAUGUAAUGGACUAUCUGGUAAAUGUGGAGAGACAAGGAAUUCUUGUCACUUAUCAAUGGAAAAUUUAAAUAGGAGUCGCCACCUAGUAUUCUAGUCACUAGGAACCCUAACUGGUCUUAGAGAUCGGAUACGGAGACUGGUUGCGUAAAGGGAAUGUAUUAGCACCCCAAAUACUCCCUACCUAAGGUAAGCUGCAUUGUUUUGUCUAAUAAAAUCUAAAGUCUUGUUGUGGUUUCUAAUUGUCGGUCCGUUUACAGUUUAAGAAAAGUCCUCUGUAAGGAGAUCCUUAUCUUAUCAGGUAAAACCUAAUUAUUUUAAGUUGUCAAAAGAAAAUACCUUUUUAAUAUCGGGAAUACAUUUUACGUAUAAAUUCAUAAUCUUUGAUACUAAAAUCAAACAAAAUAAAAAUUUUUUUUGUUUUUGAAAUUUUGGUCAAUGUUCUCUUCACUUUAAUAAACUGGUUAUUAAAGCCACAAUGCAUGCUAAAUUUUUUUUUUUUCUGGUGUAUGAAAAACACAAUAUGAUUUUUUUAGCUUUUGAGACACUUGUCCAUAUACACAAAAAGAUUUUUUCUUUUUCUCAAUUUUUUUUGUAUUUUGGAAGUUUUAACAAAAAUCGGGUAUUUUAAUAUCGAAUUUGUAUGUUUACGACGCAAAAUACUGACCGAUAUUAAGCAAAACAAAAGACAUAAAUCAAAAGGAGGAAAUCAGAAAAUAUUAAAAAUAUUUUUUUAAAAUGGGCCGGACCCAGCCCAGAUCAAUGGGCUGGGCCGGACCCAGCCCAGAUCAAUGGGCUGGGCCAGACCCGACCCAAAAAACUAAUGGGCUGGUUACUGUGUAUAAGCACAGUAACCAGCCCUUCACUCUUUCCUGCAGAACGUGAAUUAUUCAUGUUUUGCAUGCAAAUACAGGCAGGGACAAGAAGAGGAAAAUGAAUGAGGCAGCAGGAGGUUACCUAGGGUGGCGUCGAGGCGGUGUUGCUGGCAGCGGCAGUGCUACUAUCGUAGUGGUAGUGUUGGUGGCCGGCGGUGCUUCUCCUUUUUCUUCCUCUCCCUCCUUUGUUUUUUUUUUAUUAUUAUUUCUUUUUCUUUCCUUUUCUCCUCCUCUUUUCUGCUAUGUCUUGUCUCAUCUCUUCUCUUCUCUCUUAUGUUCCUCUAUUUUAUUUUUUUCUUCCCUCCCCUCUGUUUUUUGUUCUUUUUUCGGGUCUGUUUUUCUUCUUCUCUUUCUCUCUUCUUCCUUCUUUUUCUCUGCUCUUUUCAGUCCUCUUGCCUAUCUGCUCUCUUGUCUCUCUUUCUCUCUCUCAGUUUCCCCACCUUUCAUCAUGCUCUCCCCCUCUGUAUUUAUAGGUGAAAACAAAGGGGGGGGGGAGAGGUCGAGGUGGCCACUGUGUUGCCACCCCAAACCGCCCAAGGGGUACGUCCCCUCCAUUCUUCCACCACGUGGCAAGCAAAUGGGUUGUAUCGGCAUCUUUUUUAGCUUUAAGAGAGAGAGGGAGCUAGUGAAAACAGGGGAAUAAAACCUUCUUCUUCCCCUAAUUUCUACACAUCGAAGGGAAGAAAGGUUGUAUCGUUCAAAAAGGCACCAUUUUGGGCUUUCUCUCUUUCUUUGUUUUUAUGAACAGUAUAUGAAACGACGCUGUUUUGGUCAAAAUGCGUCAUUUUAUUUAAAUGGAUUUUGGUGCCAAAACGUGUCAAAUUCAAAAUCAGGCCUUCAAUUUGCAUGUGUUUUACAAUUUAGUCCUUGGUCUCGGAUUUCUUCAAUUAAGUCCCUAAUUGGCCAUCAAACUUCAAUAUUUAUGCAAUUAAGCCCCUAAUUUGACCAAAUUAAAUCUUAAAAAUUAUAUUUUGACCCCAAAACUUUAAUUUAUUUCAAUCAAGCCAAAUUAACUCCAAAAUUAAUUUUUCUUGCAAUCAAAACCUCCAUAAAUUCAAUUAAACCUUUAAGAAAAUUUAAUUGAGUCCAUAAACCUCUGAUUUUGGUCUUUUCUUUCUCAAAUUAAAUUUUCUUUGUCAACAGGGCUAUCAUCAGUCAACAAAAUAUUGUCAAAUUUUAAUUUUUGUAUUUUUAAACCUUCUCAACCAAUUUUUAACCCUUUUUUAGUGUUGCUGAAGACUGUGAAGAUGAUGGUCAACGCCGGUUCUCGUCUCUACGCUUUCAUCCGAUGGGCUGAGUUUGCGUCUCCUUUGCUCCUGGUUUGAGAUUCUGUCAACUUCAGUUCUGAGAUGAAGGGACAAAGAAGAUGGUGGGGCUGCUCCUUGUCUUUGCGUCGUUUCUCUGCUUUUAUUUUUCUCAGUUUUUUCGUUCCUCGGUUCUGCUUCCCCCCUCCUCUUCUUUCAUUCCCUGGCUUCUUAUAGAGCCAGAGAACGUGGUAAUCAGGGUGAGCCACGUUCCCACGAUAUGCAGUUACAGAUGUCCUGCUGAAACGGUCUUGAGCGACGAAGAAGGUGGAGCGUUUGAACUGGAAAUGGCAACUUUCGUUUUGGACCUUGAAUUUUAGAAAGUUUUGUAAUUAAGUCCCUAGUUAAAUUGUAAUUGGACCCCUGCAGUUUGGCAUCUUUUACAAGUUAGUCCUUGGAUUUUAAUCUGUUUGCAAUUGUGCCCCCAAUUAACCCCAAACUUUGCUAUUUUUCCAAUUAAGUCCUUGAUUUCAUUAAUUAAAUUAAAUCCAAGUCCAAUUAAGUCUUAAACUUAUCAACUCUCCAAUUAAACCCUUUGAUUUGAUAAAGUAAAUUAAUUCCAAACUCAAUUAAGUCUCAAAACUUAUUAAUUCUCCAAUUAAACCCUUGAUUUAAAUAAUUAAACUAGUCAAGAAUUUAAUUAAAUCUUUAAACUUCCAAUCAUGUUGCUCCUAACCCAAAUUUUAAUUCAUUCUUUAUUUAUUAAAAUUUUUACUUGUUUUUCAUUUUAGUAAAUAAAAUAAUUAAAAUAAAAGGUAAAAAAUUGGGUUAUGAUAAUUAUUUUUAUCAGAUUUUAUAUAUGAUGCAUCAAGUUUUUUAAUGUUAAUUGAAAAAAAAAUUAGGAUUACAUCCUAGUCGUAGAUAUGAUUAUUAUUCAUUUAAUGUUAAUAGAAACAUAUAUAUAUAUAUAUAUAUAUAUAUAUAGCAAAAGCAAAAGGUUUGAAUUGGUGGUUAAAAACAAAUAUUUUUUUAUUUUGCGGUUCCACCAGAUGCACCAAGUAAAUUAUUGUGAGGGUGCUCCCCUUCAGUAAAACUUUUUUUAAAAAUAAUUUAGUUUCGGUUGACUCACAAAAUUGAGACAUCUAGCUCAUGACUCAUGGCUUUGGCUUUAGACGUAGCUGUAACUUCGCUUACUAUGCUUAUUAUGCAAAGCAAUUAUUUUCAAGCUUCUGGAACGGGGCGUUCCUGCAUCUUCUUUUAUGGCAGAAGAGAUUAGAAAAUGACUUCUAUUGUCAAUAAUUUCUUCUUCCUUGUGAAAUGAUUUCCCGAUACAGCUCUUAAUUUCAACACCUGCUUGCUCUUCUUCUUUUCUUAGUAGACCUGGGAAGUCAAGUUUCCUAAUUAUCCACAUCAUCAAUCUCGAUCCCAUCAAAAAUGAAUUUGGUGGAAGAAAGAAAAAAAAUAAAAAAAUAUCAAUUAUUUUCAAGCUUGUGGAACGGGGUGUUCUUCCAUUUUCUUGUUUUAACUGUUUUCUUCGUAGACUUGGGAAGUCAUGUGUUAUGAACAAUUGAUUUGAUCUUGAAAAUGACUUCUUUCAAUAAUUUCUUCUUCCUUGUGAAAUAAUUUCCCGAUACAGCUCUUAAUUUCAACACCUGCUUGCUCUUCUUUUCUUAGGAGACCUGGGAAGUCAAGAUUCCAAAAUAUCCACAUCAUCAAUCUCGACCCCAUCAACAAUAGUGCCCAGCAGGAAAAAUUAGUUUCUGACGGUGAGAUGAUGCCAAAAUUGUAGUCAAAGAGACUUGGAACUCCCUGAUGAUGGUCUCUAGCUCUGGAGGUUUAUUCUGCCAAAAUUGCAUGGGCCGUUUUACAGCCUUCGUAAUGGGCUUGGCUACUUUGGGUAAUUAAAAAAACCCAAAUCGAUAAUGUUUUUUUUUUUUUCCUUUGGUAUCCGUUUAAUCAAUCUUCUGGUUUGAUCCUUGAUAGUGCUGUGUUUUGAUGCUUGUCGAUUAGCCACAAUAAUGUUAAAUUUACAAGGACAGAUCCAAGAAAAGCAAUGCAGGCCUGUAUUGGUCUCUGGGAGUCCCCUGAUAAAGGCUGCAAUCAUUGCUUGAACCCUUGUAAAGGGGCCUUUACACAUGAGGUCCACUGAAGAAGUACAACACCGUUUUUUUAUUUAAUUCUUAUGGUUUAAAUCUACUAAUAACUUAGUCAUUUUGCAUGCUAUUUUUCCACUUGUUUUGUAAAAUAGAGAAAAGAACAAAGUAAAUCUUUUUUUUUAGUUUAUGGCAUGUUCUCAAAAGUUUUAUUGAUAUUAAUUAAAUAAAAAAGACAUUGAUAUAGCUGAAAAUUGAGAACGAGAGGGAUGAUCAGGAAUGGAUUAAGCAAAAUGGGCUUGAAAAAGACCCAACAGCAGAGAAAAAUCUGAAAUAAACUCUUGAUGUUCAAAAUAGCCCACAAGCAAGGAAAAUUACCAAAAUAGGUAAAUACUGAUUAUUCAAUAAAUAAAGAAACUUCCUAGAAUAAGUGUGACAUCCUUUAAUGUUUUUACCUUUUAGAACAGUUUAUCCAGGUCGAUUCCACUUUGCUUCAACCGACCACAAUGAUCCCAUAUCCAUCUAUACAAAAAUCAAUUAAGCGGUCCAUUGACACAUUAACUUCUCUGGCUCCAUUCCGUCCUGGAUUAGCAAUCUUUCAACAUUGAGUGUUCUUCUUCUAAAAGCUACCUGAUCUUGUCAACCUAUGACAGAUCUAAAGACUUGAGAGCGGAAAGCCCAUUAAAACAUGAUAAAAUGCUUUUAUCAUUAUUAAAUCGGUUCCCACUUAGGUCAAGUACCUCCAGUUUUGAUGGUAGGACUUCGAAGCCUGGAAGAGAAACAUCAAAGCAAGAUAAUUGACAUUAAACACCGACCUUGAUUCUCAAAAUAAUAUAAAUUUAUUCUAUGAUUAUAAGAACAGAAAGAUUGAACCGACCAUGAUUCUCAAAGCAACCAACUAAUCCAUUACCGAUCAAAUCAAGACUUUGCAAUUCGUUAAAAGGCAGAAACAAAGAUGCGUUGAGAACCCAAUCCCCCAAACUCUCAUCCCUUGCACCAAUAAGAGAGAGUCGGAUCACUCGCCUUUGAGUGUUAUCACACUUGAUCCCAUACCACUCACAACAAUUACUACUGUACUCCGCCCAAUCUCUCAUGUAAAUGCUGUUUGGAUUGAUCAAAGGUUUGAUCUCCAUGAGACCAAUUCUCUCUUCCUCCAAACACCCAUAAGAACGACCACACCAUUUCGCCAUCCAAAGUCAAUAAUGUGACCAAAAUCCAAACCCACAAUAUCUUUUUCACCACCAUCUUAUAUUGUUCUAUAAACCACUACGUAGAAUUUUGUUGUUUGUUAUGUGAGUUUGGGCAACCCACAUUUGGUCCCAUUUAAAACACACUUUGGCCAUUUCCAUGAUUUUAUCUGCGUAUCCUGUGCAGGUUCCAUGAUUUUAUCGGGGAGUCAAUUUAAGUUAUUUUCCUGCCACUUUCUCAGCAGUUAUUCUCGUAGAGUCCUAUUUUGUGUUAAACGUUGGGUGCGUAUAAAGUAGUCAAAAGUAGGAUAUCCCGCUUUCUCCAUUGCUGUUCUGCAACAAUAUUUUGGUAGCCUUAUAGCACUCACUACUGGAGAAAUUGAGCUAAAGCAUAAAAUGUCAUGUACGCGGAUGCUUGACUUGCGGUGUGCCAUCUUGACUCUUAAACACCACCGAGCAGUAAUUUCAUGGUGAUUUCCUUAUUAAUACUGGUGGUCUUCCAGAAUCUUUAUCCAAACAACCCUUGCUAGACCGGGAUCGGGGUUGAUCAGGGAUAAGACUCGUGUCAUGACUUUUGAUGAGAUCACUAGGGCUCUGUUUGUUUGCAGGAAAGUGAAUUCCUUUUGGAAAGUGAAUUCCGGGGAAAGUGAAUUCCUGGAAAGUGAAUUCCGGGAAAGUAUUUUCCGAUGUUUGGUAGUGUUAUGGAAAAUGAACUGGAAAACACUUUCCAGUGUUUGGUUGUAUUAUGGAAAAUGAACUGGAAAAUAAUUUAUUAAUGAAUUAAUUUUUUUUUUAAAUUUAUCUAAUAUAUAUAUAAAAUAUCUAAUAUAAAAUAUUUAAUCACUUACAAUAAAAAAAAAUGAAAUCUAAAAUGUAUAAUGAUGAAUUUUUUUUAUUAUAUUCUAUAUUCAUACAUAGCUUAUUUUAUAAAAUAUAACUAUAUAUAUCAUAUCAUAUUAUAGAGAAAUAAGCUUGUGAAAUGUUUUUUACUAUUCCAUGAAACUAUUUAUAAUUCCAUUACGUACGAAAUAUAUCUGACAAAAAUUAUAGUUUUAAUAAUAUUUUUAGCAUGUAACAAAAUUGGAUAAAAUAUUAAGGUUUAAAAUUUACUCUAAACUAUUUUUUUUUAAUGUUAAAAAAAAUAGCACACUUAAAAAAAAAAAAAAAAGAAUCCUACAGGCAAGUGAACAGUGCAAGAGAACUGCACUGUUCACUAUUUUUCCAGUAAACAGUGUACGCAAUACACUGUUCAUGUUAAUUGCACUAUUCAUUGAACAGUGCAAUUAACAUGAACAGUUAAGAAAAAAUGGCUGCUUUUCACCGCUGGCCACUGUCGGAAAGUGUUUUCCUUUCUUUAACAAAAGAAAACACUUUCCUUUGGCAACACUGAUUUAUUUUCCAUUGACUGAAUUCAUUUUCCAUUGACUUUUUUUCUUGUUGUUGCCAAACACUGGAAAAGCAGGAAAGUGAAUUCCAGGAAUUCACUUUCCUGCAAUCAAACACGGCCUAGAUUAACUUUCAUUUUUUGCUAAUUUGGUUGAAGAAAGAAAUAUUUAGCCUGAUUUACUUCCAUAUUCAUUUUCUUUUUAAUACAUACAUGCUUGUAACAAGACAGGAUAAAAGCCAUGUAAACAAGGUAAUUAAAAAAUGUCUUCCGGCAAGUUUGUUUGUUUUUCCCCUUUAUUAUGAUAUAUAUACACGAAAGAAGAAAAUGCAUUGAUUAAAAUGCAUAGACCACCGUGUGGGCCAAUAAAAUGAAAACAAAAGACAAUAUCAAUGGUUUGCAAAAAAAGAAAAAAGAAAGUUUUCUGUUAAAUUUAUCUUUAUGUUAAUUACUUGAUUAACUAAACUUAAUCAUGUAAUAUUGAAUUAUUUGAUGAAAAACUUAUUUAAAACAGUAUUAAUUGACAUAUUUUAAAGUAAAAUAAAAAACAAACCCCGCUUACUUGCUUAUUUUUAAUGUGAAAAAUUAUUUUUUAACAUAAAUUCUUUAACAUAUUAACAUAAAAAAGUUCAAUAUAAUUAAAAUAAAUUGUGAUUAACAUGCUUUCUGAACCAAGCUUUUAUAUCUAAGAGACUAAUUCUCUCUUCCUCCAAACCACAAUGGCAAAUUGUGCCAUGAGCAGCCCUUUUGUCUUCUGGGCUGGAACAUCAGCCCAGCCCACGCGGAUGGGCUGAGUCCAGCCUUGUAGCUGGACCAAUACAGGCCCAGCCCACAUGAUUGGGUCGGGUCUGGCCCAGUUCAAUUUAAUGUUGGAACAUCAGCCCAGCCCAUGUGGGUGGGCUGAGUCCAGCCUUGUAGCUGGGUUAAUACAGGCCCAGCCCCCACAAUCAGCCCAGUUCAUUUCUUUUUUAAAAAAAAAAAAAAAAUUAUUUUCAAAGAAAUUGCAAUUUCCCCGUGUAUUUAUUUUACGUCAUUUUGAUUAAUAUUGGUCUGUAUUUUUAUAUCAUAAAGAUAUAAAUUCGGUAUUAAAAUAACCGGUUUUCAAAAAAAAAUAUUUUUGUUUUCAUACAUACGGCCUAGUUUCUCAAGGCUAAAAAUAAAUAAAAUCAUAUUGUAUCUUCAUACAACAAAGAAAACUUCAAUAUAUAUAUAUAUAUAUAUAUAUAUAUAUAUAUAUAUAUAUAUAUAUAUGUGAACAUGUGUUUUGGCUUUAAUAACCAGUUUAUUAAAGUUACGAGAACUCGGCCAAUAUUUCAAAAAAAUCAAAAAAUAUAUUUUGUUUUGUUUUAUUGUCUGGGAUUAUGAAUUUAUAUAUAAAACGUAUUCCUAAUAUUAAAAUGGUAGUUCUUUUAUAGACAUUAGAACAGUUAUGUUUUACCCCCAUAAGAUAAAAACCUCUUUACUGAGAAUGACUUUUCUUGAACCAUAGACGGACCAACAUGAUAAGACCUUAUAUUUUUUAUCAGACAGUGAAACAAUGCAACUUACCUCAGAUAGAGCGUAUUUGGGGUGUUAAUACCUUCUCUUUACGCAACCAGUCUCCGUAUCCAAUCUUUGAGACCAGUUAGGGUUUCUAGUGACUAGAAUACUAGGUGGCGACUCUCCUUCUAUUUUUUCACUGCUAAGACACAAAAAAUUCCUUGUCUCCCCAUUUUUGCUGGAAUAGAUACAAUUGCACCUAAUGAGGAGAAGUGGUGGGCGAUCAUCGCGACGCCGUACACAUGCAACACAUGUAAAACGGUUUCUAUAUAUAUAAAAGGAAGAAAGAAGAAAAUGCAUUAAAUAAAACAUGGAUAUCUUUGAAUGAAGAAAUUUAGGACACCGCUGACGUAUAUAGACAAAGUAUGCCAAGAACGAGGGGGGGCAAAAACAUUAUCAAUGGCUUGAAAGAACAAGACAAAAUAAAAUCAUUAGUUUUGAGCUUCAGAAGACAAUUUUAGCCAUUUAAUUUUGUCUUCAACUCGUUACAAAAAGCCUUGUCAUUUGAGAUUUCAUGCUUGUAAUGUUUCUGUUUUCAAUUAGUAUUACGCUUCCAUCUGUCAGAAUACUGUUGAACUUGACAAGAACUUUGAGCAAAUUCCAAUUUGAUUUUUGUAGCGAAUUAUAUCACUUAAUUGUUUGCUUAGGCUUAUUUUUAAUGUUCAAUGAAGUUUCACCAAUCAGUCAUCAAAUUCUGUAAAUGUUGCAGAUGAUUGCUAGGAAUAAAUCACAGUCAUUAAAUUUCUUCAUUUUGGUCCUUAAAUUUGUUUGCUAUGCUGUAGUUCUUUAUUUUUCGUGGAUAAAUUAUUUGGUACAGAGUUCUAAUUAAUAGCCAAAAAAGAAAAUAGCUCUGAAGAUAUCAGAACAACUGAAAAGAGAAGCAAAUAAUUGAUAAGGUGGGAGAAAAGAAUAGCAAAAUGCAUAGGCAAAUUUCUACAGUAUCAACUGACAAUGUGGAAGAAGAGAAUAUCAACCUGAUAGAUCAUAUAUGCGAGGCUUAUGUGGUUUACGAACACCUGAUUUGCAGAAGCUGGGGAUAAUGUUGAAACUCAAAUACACUCCUAUACAAUGAAAGGUUUUCUUGAAAACUAUCAUAAUUAAAGCAUAAAUUCAAUGAAAACUAAAUUUGCUGGAGGGGUUUCACAGAUUUUGACCAGAUUGAAUUUCACGAGGCGUCUAGCGUGAAUGAAUUAGGGUUUUCUUCUAGCCUUGAAAUUAUAGAGGAAUAGAGAAAAACAAAAACUCAUAUUUUUCUGAAAAGUCUAUAAUUCAAUAAUCUAAUCUUAAAACAAUACUUCAAUUGUUGAAAUAAAAGUUUUAAACCGAUCUAAUUAAAAGAAUUUAAGAUUAAGUGUGAAAAAUAUAAAAAAUACAAAAUUAUUUAGGAAAAUAAUUAAAAUAGCAAAAAUAGAAUCUUUUGACCUAACUUUGAAAAGAUCCUGUGGUGAUGGAGUCUAUAAAAUUAUCUAAUAAAAUUUAAGUAUAAUAUAAUAAUUAAAAUUAUAAUUAUAAUUAAAGCAUAAAAUGUCGUGUACGCCGAUGCUUGACUUGCGGUUUUCCAUUUUGAUUUUUAAAUACCAGAAAACGGUAAUUUCCUUAUAGAAACUGGUGGUCUCCUCGCGACCUUUUUUCUCAAAUAACUGUUGUUAGAGCAUGAUUGAAGUUAGGAUUUAACCCGUGUCAGAAACUUAAUGACUCUCCUCACUAACAGUAAUUUAUUAAAUAUUUUUAAUAUACUUAGUUCAUGUGAGGUUGUGUUUUCAAAAUCUUCCGAGAAAAAAGGACUAAAUGAUGACACACACGACAUUAAUGCAAAAAUAAAAGAUAGCACUACUGGCCAAAUUAAAUUUCACGAGAUGUAUAAAUUCAAACUAGGAUUUUCCAGCCUUUAAUACUCUAUGGAGAAAAAAACUCUAAUAUUUUUAUAAAAAGCUUAUAAUUUAAUAAUCCAAUCUUAAAACAAUAUUUCAAUUGUUGAUAUAAAAAAUUAAAACUGAUCUAAGAAAACUAAGUGGAAAAAAUAAUAAAAUAUAUUAUUUUCAGAAUAUAUUAACAAUUUAUUUCUUGAACAUGAAUACCAAGAAUAGACAGAGAGACACAGAGGAAUCAUUCACAUUUGCACUUGAAAGAAGCCAACUGUAUGCAAAGAGGGCCAAGAAGAACAAAUGAAUUAGUUUGCUGAAACAGACAAUACAAACAAAAGGAGAAGAAUGAGAAAUCAGAUGGGCAGUGUGAUGGUAUUUUCAGAACUAUGGUUGUGCCUUUUGGAAGAGAAUGUGCUUCUUCUCUGACCAUUGUGUACAAUUAUGGUCGUUGUUUCAUCAAAAUCAGAGGGCUGAUUCUGCCUUCUCCUUUACAGCUUCCAAAAGAAAAGGUGAGAAUGGGCUAUUCUUGCUUUUGAUAUUUGAAAUCAUAACAUGCUCCACUGAUUGACUUUUGGUGUAACAUUUUGAUCCUUAAACUUCACUUGGCCGUAAUUUCCUGAUGAUUUCUUUAUGGGAAACAGGUUGUCUUCUCGCAAUCCUUUUCCAAACAACCCCUGUUAGAGCAUCAUUAAAGUUUUGAUUUGUACCAUCAUCAAAAAAUGACUGUCAUCAUCAUCACAACGUACUUCCAUUUCAAUUAAUUCUUUAUAUUAUAACGCAGCAGAACAUAAAAUAAUGGGUGAAGAUAUUUUAGCUGAUAAUGGGUGAAGGGAUAUUUUUUUUCUAAUUGAAAACGACUUGUCAGCUUUAGAAAAUGCAUGCAGGGCCCAGUUUAAUUUCAAUUUCUCAUACUCUCGUUAAUGCAAGUUUGGACAGCUUGGGGAUGUGUCGUCCAUCCGGUUUCCUUUUUUGAUCGGGAGUCAAUGGGAUUAGUAAUUGACACUUCAUCAUCAAAUCAAAAUUAAAAAUGUUAAUGAACUCACAAUUAAUUGCCAUUAAGCUCCAUUGAGUGUAAACAAUGAAUUUAUAAAAUAGUCAAAAGUGGGAUGUCGUGAUUUCAACAAUGCCGUUUCAGAAAAUUGAUAGUCAUGAUGAAAAGAAGAAGACAGAAUUGUUGAGUUGAAACGUGAACGUCGUGUUCUCCUGAUCAAUUGUAUAGUGAAGAUGGUGGAACUGAUGCGGGUGCAUAGCACCAACCAUUACUUCCCUAAUGAUUUCCUUGCGGAAGAAAUUAUUACAUUUUUAAAGUUAAAAGUGCUAAAGCACAAUUCAAAGAAAAUAAGCAGUACUAAACUUAACAAGCUAGUUCAAUGGAGGAGAAUGGUGUGCUGAAACACUAUGAUUUUCAAAAAAAUUGAAGCAUAUCAGAUCCAUGCUGCUGCAUUCGCAAGAAACGAGCACCCAUCAACAAUGUGCUAAAUGUCAAUGCAGAGCUUUAAAUCAUCUACAGAGGCUCAUGAAGAAAAUAGGCAUAAAUGAUAACAGAUAACACACCAGAGCACUCUACGUAAACUGAUAUCUUUAGAAAAUUCAAAGGCAUGAAUGAAAAAGAAAAGCUAGAAAUAUCUAAGUCAGCUCUUAAUUUGUAACAGUCCACAACUUCAUGUUUGGUGUGUACUGUAAACUAUGCUCUCCACAUAAUCAUGAGCUUCAUCUGCAAAAAACCAUUUUCACUUCUUGGGACAAGGGAUCAAAAAAAUACAAACCUGUUGUUGGAUUACAUUCAUAAUUUAUAUCAAGCACUAGAUGCUGCUCGAAGGAAGUCCUUCAAGGAAAAAAAUCAGGAACAAAAAUGCUGAGAGGUCCAUCUUGGAGGUCAGAAAGCUGGAGUUCUACUAGAAGAAGAUACCUCUGGAGAGAGAAAUAAAGGAAGCCUGAACUGCUUAGAGUUUUCUUACCGAAGCUUCAAGUUAAGAUCAUUUUCAUUUCAAUUUGGAUGUAGAAAUAAUGAUGGGAUGUGAAAAUUAUAUUUUCAUUUCAGAGAGCUGGUUGAUUAUAUUUUGAAAAAGGGUAUAUAUGAAAGUUAAAUCCUCUGUUCAAAUGAACAAAGGGAUCAACUUGAGCAAGAGUCAACAAGCUAUCCUUCGAGGUCAAUGGAACAUACCACUCAUAUUAAUCUUCUACUAUUUAGGGGAAUUCAUACAUCCACUCAUCUUAAGCUGGAAAACUUAUGGAAAGCAUUCGCAAUUGUUUCCAAUGUAUCGACUGUAAUCAAUCAAUAGAUCAUCAACUAUUGUCCUCAUUGAAAGUUUCCUGCUCCCUAUAUAGAGAAUGUCUGAUUAAUUUCAUUAAAUAUGCAUGAUUCCACUGUAUGUUAGCUAACCAAAAGAGCCUACAGGCCAAAUAAACAACAGGAAUAAGAGAAACUACUUCCAACGCCAUCAUUUCUCCUUUCUAGUAUCAUCUUUUGUUUAAUGUUUAAUGCUCGUAGCCUCUGAGCACUCCAAACUAAUUUUUAAAAUAAAAUAUCAAGAGAUGGCAGAAAAUGAAUGUGCUCAUCAACUAUUUUCCUCAUUGAAAGUAUACUGUGGUAUUUUAAAUUGCUCCAGUUUUUAAAAAAUAGAAGGCCACAGGCCAAAGAAACAACAGGGAUAAGAGAAACCGUUUUUUAUUUGAGAAAAUACGAUACUGCAAACUAUUUCUUAUGAAUAAAUCCCGUAUUACAAGAAGCCAAGAAUUGGUUGGUUGCUCAGCACAACAUAACUCAACAUAACUGAUACAAACAAUUACUGAUACAAGCACAAGGACAAACACAAGUCACAUCAAAAUAGAAAGGCUAAGCAACAAGAACACUUCUCACAGGCAAAUUGCUAAACAUGCAGUGAGCAACCAUUGAUUUGGAAUGCGACUGCUUCUCCACAGAGGAUUGCAACAAAUUCAGAAAGCAGCCCACACGCUCCUGAUAAGAUCCAAUCACCUUCUGAAUCUGGACAACUUGGGAAAGUUAAUUGCCAAAAAGCAGCAGCAAGUGUCAAUGCAUUCUUCAAUGAAGUAAAACCACCUGCGACGCCAAUGCGGAUUUAUGCACAGUACUGCUGCAAUUGUCAACACCACAGUUAUGUAAAACACACCAAAGCUGGCAUAGAAACUGUCCAUGUCUAUGAAGCCACCAUCUCCAUUGAAAUCAUUAGGCACUCUCGCGGAUGGUGAUUCUGUUUUGUCGCAACUAUUUUGCAAUGGAGGUCCACAAAGAAGAGGAUUCCCUUUAUAACUGCUUUCAUCAAAGGUACCAAAUUGAUUUUUCAUCUCCGGUGUUCUUCCUGACAAAUUAUUGUACGACACGUUAAAAACUGCUAGAAAGGUCAGUUCAACGAGUUGUGCAGGAAUUCUCCCAUUCAAAUUGUUGUGAGAAAGAUCCAAGCUCUCUAGCUGCUUCAGAUUGAAGAAGGAUGAAGGGAUCAAUCCAGUGAGAUUAUUUUGUGACAGAUUUAGAGAAUGUAUCCCACUUAAGUUUCCCCAUUCUAUCGGGAUUUCUCCAGUGAAUCUGUUACAAGAAAGAUCCAAAGCAGACAUGUAACGAAGGAUUUCGCCUUCAUAAGUGUAGAAGUUUUUCUUUGUUGUAAGCUCUACAGUUAUUUUUACACUGAUCUCUGGCCACAAAAUUUUAUCAUGAAGAUAACCUUCGUUCUCCAAUUCUCUCCCCCAUGUGGAUGCAAAUAUUUCUUCAUCUAGUGAGUACUUCACACUAGUGUCAAGCACAGUUAUUUCUUCAUCUUGUGACUCCAUACUAGUGUCAACCAAAGUUUCUUCAUCUAAUGCCAUAAAAUUUAAAUUGCUCAAACAUGAGGGUAACGGACCAGAAAAGUUAUUUUCUGAAAGAUCCAAUAUGUUUAAUUUCCUUAACAAGCAUAACUGAUGAGGUAGUUUCCCAUUGAAUUGAUUAGAUUUGAGAACAAAAAUGCUCAAUUCCGAAAGGCUAUAAAUCCAAUUUGGAAUGGGCCCAGUUAAGUUGUUAUCGCCGAGAUCUAAUGUCACCAACGAAGAGAGAUUACAAAAAGCAUAUGGCAGUGGACCGCUCAAUUGAUUUCUAUAAAGGUGGACAUAGUGUAAAUCUGAUGCAAGGAAGCCCAACGACAAAGACAAAGACCCAGACAGAUUGUUUUCAGAAAGAUCUAAAAAUUCAAGCCCAGAAGAAUUGAAAUAUUCUAUUGGAAUGGUACCUUCAAAAUGAUUUCUGGACAAAUCAAUUCCAUCAAGUUCGUUUAGUGAAGAGUUCCCAAUUCCCCUUGGAAGCAUGCCUGACAAAAGAUUGUUACUGAUAACAAACCACGAAAAUGAUGAUGCAAGAGAAAAGGUAUCAGAUACUUGUCCUGCAAAUUUGUUUCCAUCUAGAAAGAGGUAAAGUAGAUCAGUCAUGUUGAACACAGAUGGUGGUAAUCGCCCAUUGAAGUUGUUGUUGGACAACUUCAAAAACCACAACGAGGAGCCUACUGUUGGCAAAUUAUGCUCAAGCAGUUCACAAGACAUAUGAUUGUUGGAAAGAUCCAAGUAUCCGAGAGAGCUCAUAUUCCCAAAACAAGGAGGAAUGCAACCUGUGAGGCUAUUGUUAGCCAUCAAGAAGUUCUUUAACCGUGGAAAAAUUGAACAUAUGUUCCUUGCAAUUUGACCAUGUAUGGUGUUGCCAGACAUAUCUAUUGUAUGAAGAUUGGGUGUUGGAUGUUGUGGCAGCUGCAAAGGACCUAUAAAUGAGGUGUCUCUCAAAUAUAGUCGAUUUAACUUUGUAUUAUUCUCAAACAGCCAAGACGGGAAAGGUUCUCCAAUGAAUUUGUUGUGGGAUAGAUCAACAAACACCAAAUCAUGUUGGCUAUGCAGGAAGUUUGGAAAUCUAGCUUUGAGUGGUUUUGAAGUACAGUUUGCAGCACUGAAGUAAAGAAGCUGUAACUUGGGAGCUGAAGGCUGAAAACUGGGUGCAGCUAUUAGCUCAUUGUUAUCGCAUACAAUGAACUUGAGGUUGGAGAGGUUCAUAAAUGAACCAAAUGAUAUUGGAACUUGAAAGUAGUUAUUUGAAACUUUGAGGUAUCUGAGCUGCGUAAGAUGGGAAAGGUGACUAGAGGCAAUAUUCCCCUUCAAUUGGUUGUCAGAUAAAUCCAAGAUUUGUAGAGAUGAUAGAUUUCCCAAACAAUGAGGGAGUGAGCCCUUUAGAUUGUUUCCUGAGAUAAGUAGUUGUUCAAGAUUCUUCAGAUUCUUCAGUUCACACCAGCCUGUAGAAUAUAUUAAUAUAUUCAUGUUAAGGGAAUAAUAAUAUAUCAAUUAUGCAAGUGCUUAGUGAGGUUUUAAAGUUUUAGUUGAUUUUUGUUUCAAUAGCUAGGUCAGUUCUAGAUUAUAUUUAAACAACUUUGUUUGUUAGUUUUUUUAGAGAUUAAUUAUCUAGAUUAUUGAUAUUCAAAAUUUUUUUAAUUCAAAUUUUUUUCUAUAAUUUAAGACUGGGAAGUUUUAGAGAUUAAGAAACUCUAGAUUUUUGGUCAAGAAGGAUAGAGUGGAAGUAUCCAUUUUGUGUAUUGUAAUAUAAUCAUCUGUUAAAUAGAAGGAAAACAGAGAAAUAAAUGAGAGGAGAAUGAUUUUGUUAUUUCUUGUGUGCGUAAUCCUCCUACCAUUAUAUAUAUACUUCCCCACAUGCAUUACACGAUUUAUUAUAUUGUUAACUAACUCUACCCGACUCUUAACAACUUCUAACACGUGUCCAUGCAUCUGCUAGUUACCCUAAAUUUAAGACUGAGAAAUUUUAGAUUGAGAAACUCUAGAUUUUAUCCUUUUCUAUAUGUAACAUUAGGAGUAAACUUCUAACAUAUCACCUCCAUUCCUUUAAUAAAAUUUUAAAAAUUGAACAAAAGUUAAUGGUUAAUACACAUCUAUUUAUUAGACAAGUUCACUAAAAAAUAAAUUAAGCCUCACUAAGGAAUGCCAUUCAAGAUAGGAAUGAUUUACAACUUUAUCAUUAAUACUAGUUGAUCCUGUCAACAUGUUUUUGAUAAAUAUAGAGAUUUGAGAGUUGAAAACCCACUUAAAGAUGAUAAAACACUGUCAUUAAAUUUACUGUAACUCAGAUCAAGUUCUUUCAAAUUCCUCAACCCUCAAGCUAAUACUUGAAAACAUGAAAGAAAAUUAUGGGAAACAAAGAAAUUAACAGAUAUAUACAGAUUUAUAUAUCAAUCAUCCCAAUAUCCAUAAAGAUUCAAUGUAAAGUUACUUGAAAUAUAAUUAACUUUAUGUGUUAACUAAAAGAAAAUUGAAAGCAUAGAACCUUGGUUCUUGAAGCCACCAACUAAUUGGUUGAAGCUUAAGUCGAGAAUCUCCAGUUCUUUGAAAGGCAGAAACAAAGACGCAUUGAGAUACAAGUACUCUUCGACUGCAUUGAGACCCAAGUCCUCAUAAUUUACACCUGAAAGAUGUAGUUCGAUCACUCGGUUUGUGGUGUUGUCACACACAACCCUAUGCGGAUCCCAGUCACAGCAAUUAAAAUACUCUUUAUCCCAACCUUCUAGCUGAUCAUAGGACCCAGCUGCACGUGCAUGAUUGAACCAAGCUUUUAUCUCUAAGAGACUAACUCUCUCUUCCUCCACACAACAAUGGCUCCGGUCGUUGACGAAGGACAGUGCCAUGAGGAGCAUCCACACCCACAUUUCCCUCAUCUUCAUAACGCUCCACUUGACCACAUACAAAAGCAAGCAAGCAAGCUGUCUCUUAUAUACAAUUUAAUUUGUCCUCUUCAUGCGUUUGAUCAUAGGAUUUUCCCGUGAUAAACUUUUAGACUUUGGUGGUCUCCUCACGAUCUUUUUUCAGAGAAAUCUGCUUCUCAUUUGUAGUUUGCCAUCUUCCUACUGUCGCACUAGCUUUAAUGAUAUGUCCACUUGAUUAUUAUAAAAGAAAAAUAAAAAUACUCCACGUCCACUAUUGUCAGCUUUCGAGAACGCAUGCAGGACCCAGUUUAAUCUCAAUAUGGAUUUUUAUAAGCAAAUCUUAGAGAAACAGUUUCCUGCAUAAUUACUAGAAUUUUUUGGUUUGAUUUAAUUUGAUAUUAAUGAUUUUUCACCUUUUGUCUGAGAUCAAGUACCUAAUGAAACCUUGAAUGGAGCACCCAUUUGUACGCAUAUGCUUGACUUGAGGUCUGCCAUUUUGAUUUUAAAAUACCAUCAAGCAGUAAUUUCUUGGCGGUUUCCUUAUAGAAACUGGUGGUCUCCUCACGACCUUUUAAUUUAAAAAAAAACUCUUGUCGGAGCAUGAUUUAAAAGCUAGGAUUCAACCAGUAUCAGGGAAUGACUGUCAUCUUUUAAAGAAAUUUGAUCACCCACUUUCACUUGUUUUUCGUUGUGGACCUCCGUUGCGAAGUUGCAGUGAAACAAACUCGCAAUUGCAGCAGGUGCCUAAUAAUGAACAAGAAGAUAAUGGUUUCAUAGAUAAUAUUGGGGGAGCAAAUGAGCAAUUAUAAUAUUGGGGGGGAGCAAUUAUAUUGGGGGAGGGCCGGACCAAUUAUAUUGGGGGCCUUUAAAUUGAAAUCGUAAAAUCGGUCCUAAUAUCGUGAUUUUGCGCGAUAUCAUCCGUUUUUUGCGAUUUUACCUGAUUUCAACCUGAUUUUAUCCAUUUUCGAUUUUUUUAACCGAUUCAACUCGUAAUGCAUGUUUUGACUCGUAAAAUCGUACGAUUUUACGAGUCACGCGAUUUUGACAACCUUGGUGACGAUGGUGGAACUGAUGCGGUUGCAUAGCAGCACCAACCAGUACUUUAAUUUCCUAAUGAUUUCCUUGCGGAAGAAAUUAUGGCAUGUUGGAAAACGAUGCCACCCUAACAAUCCAAGAGCUCAAAUUCAACUUGAAUAAAAGCAUGAUAAAUGGAUAAUUUAGAGGAGAAAGGAUCCAAGAACAUCAUGAAACAGGGGAUUGUUAUAUUUUGUUACCCUAACAAUCCAAGAGCUCAAAUUCAACUUGAAUAAAAGCAUGAUAAUUUAGUGGAGAAAGGACCAAGAACAUCAUGAAACAGGGGAUUGUUCUAUUUUGUUAUGUAACAAUCUCAACAGCUAAUUAAGAGGUUAGAUUGUAGGGUCUAAUUUCAAAUGCAAGACUCUAUUGAUUCUCAUCAUUAUAGUAAUAAAACCAUGUGCAUUUUUAUUAAAUUAAGAGGAAACACAAAAUUAAACAAGAAAAUCUUCAGAGUUCAGAAAUAAAUCUAACAUUGCCGAACAGACUGUGAGCAAACCCAGAUUUGGUGGAAGAUAGAAAUAUGAAGAGAGAGCAGAAAUCUUAGAUAAUUCUAUGAAGAGAGAGCAGAAAUCUUAGAUAACAGUUUGUAGAAUAUUGUUGUUUGUUAUGUGAGUUUGGGCAACCAUAGGUCCUAUUUAUAACACGCUUUGUCCAUUUCCAUGACUUUUAUCUGCGUACCUGGUGCCGAUUCUAUGUUUUGAGAUGUUUUCUUUAUUUCAUUUCUUUUUUUAAUAGUUUUGGAUUCGAAUAUUAUUUCAUUUAUUUGUUUAGCCUUAGGUGUAUUUGGGAAUGUGUUUUUCGUUGUUUUUCAAAGUAGUUUUCACUUGGAAAUGUAUCAACAUGAUAUUGUUUGGCCUUAGGGUAUGUUUAGUAGUGUGGUUAGAUGUCUUAAUACGAACCUUGAAAACAUGGUCAAAACAAUAUUUUAUAAAAAUUUGAUUUUUUAUUAAAAUUAUUUUUUAUAUAUUUUUAGUUAGUUAUAAUGUAUUAAUAUCAAAAAUAAAUUUUAGAAAAUAAAAAAUAUAUUAUUUUGAUAUAUAUUCGAGCAAAAAUAUAUUUUAAAAAACAACCCUUAUUACAAUAAUGGUGAUUUCCUUAUGCAUACUAGCGGUCUUCAUUAAUAUUUCAAAAAAUCAUCAUUAAACCUGGUUUGGGGUUGACUAGGAAUAAGGCUGGGGUCAUGAUUUUUUUUAUUAGGUCACUAGAUUAACUUAGAUCAACUCCAAUAUAUAUAUAUAUAUAUAUAUUCAAGUCAAGCUAAGCAUUAACCGAGUCACUUAGAUUUUUCCCUUUUUCAAUUUUUUUAAACUUGUCCCGGUUUUGAUCCUCAAUCAAAUGGGUUUCAUCUUGAUUUAUCUAUAUGUUAAAUUACUUGAUUAACUAAAUUAAUUCUGUAAUAUUGAAUUAUUUGAUGAAAACAUUAUCUAAAACAUGAUUAAUCUUACUUUUAAUAUUAAAAAUUAUGUUUCAACAUAAACUCUUUAAUGUAAAAAUUUAACAUAAUUAAAAUAAAUAGUGAUUACCGUUUCAGCAAUUGAUUUGAUCUUGGCCUUACAAUUAUUUUCAUUAGUCUGUUAAUGUUUUUCUUCAAGCUUAUGGAAAGGGAGGUUUCUCCAACUUGUUGUGUAAGCUCCUUUGCUUUUUGUUUUUCAUAGACUUGGGAAGUCAUUUGUCUCUUAUAACACAAUAAUUGAUGUGUGAAACAACAUCGUUUUAUAUGGAAAAAAAAUAAAGAGUUAACCGAGUAUUUAUUCAAGUCAUGCCAAUCAUUAACCGAGUCAUUUGGAUUUUUUUUCCUUUUUUAUUUUGUAAACUCGACCUUGUUUUGGGCUCCGUUUGUUUGCAGGAAAGUGGUUUCCUUUUGGAAAGUGAAUUCCGGGGAAAGUGAAUUUCUGAAAAGUGAAUUCCGGGAAAGUAUUUUCCGAUGUUUGGUAGUGUUAUGGAAAAUGAACUGGAAAAUAAUUUAUUAAUGAAUUAAAUUUUUUUUCAAGUUUAUCUAAUAUAUAUAAAAUAUUUAAUCACUUACAAUUGUCAUAACCCAAUUUUUGACCCUUUUUUAUUUUUAUUAUUUUAAAAAAAAAGAUGAUGAAAAAUAAAAAUAAAAUAAAUGAAGAAUGAAUUAAAAUUUGGGUUAAGGGCAACAUGAUUGGAAGUUUAAAGAUUUAAUUAAACUCUUGACUAGUUUAAUUAAUUAAAUCAAGGUUUUAAUUGGAGAAUUGAUUUAAUUAAAAUUUAGAUUAUUUUAAUUAAUGAAAUCAAGAGUUUAAUUGAAGAAUUAAUGAGUUUGAGGACUUAAUUAUACUUUGAUUUAAUCAAAAAUCCAGGACUGUUGUGUAAAUGGCGCUAUAACUCAAGGAUUCAAUUGAAUUUAAUCCAAGGGCACAAUUAGAAAUCAAUUAUUUCUGAUUAGGGUCCCAAUUGUUAAGUUUACACUGUCUAGGGACUAAAUUGAAAAACAGCCAUGCCCAAGGACACAACGGCGCCGUUUUGGAAGCAUUGUUCAUCGUCUCCUACGCUUGCGCGGAUGAAGCCUUGUUCAACAGGGAAAUCUGCUGCAACAAAUCCGGUCAUGGACCAUAUCUCUUGCCCACGAUCUCGUUCGUGGAUUCCAUAACAGUCCUGCAAAUGUAGGACUGGUUGAGGGGAAGCUUCUCUAUAAAAGGGGGGACGCAAGCACACCAGGAAAAAAAACCCAUCAUAAACAGAAGAAAAACUCGGGGAAGAGGCCAGCAACCAAAAACCAGGAACGAGUGACCGAAGACCAGAACGAAACAGAGGCAGAAGACGCAAGAGGAGGAAGAACAACAGGUGACGAACAGAGAGGAGAGGAAUUAAAGGGAGCCGAAAAUCAAAGAAAAAACCCAGAAUAACAGAGAAGCAAACGAAACAGAACCAGAAGAGUAGAGGAAAAGCAGAAACAUAAAGCCUGCCAAUCAUCGUCUUCACCACAGCACCUGAACCAGCAAAACAGAGGAAGAAGGGCAGGGGAAACAGGCCAAGAACCAUAAAAAAUGGAGGACGAACAGUGACAAUAAAAAAAAGAACCACCCGAGAGAACCGGCUUCGUCUUCAUCUUCAGGAGCAGCAGACCACAUGUAAUCUUCCCUUUGCAUUUUAAUUCACUGCUACAAUAGCAGUGAAUUAUAAUUCACUUGCUACUGUAGCAAGUAAAUAAUAAUUCAUUGGCCCAGCUGUAUUCUCAUUGAACAGCUGAGGGUAUGUAGAAAAAAGGAAAGUGUUUUUUUUUCUUUACAUAAGAAAAACAUUUCCCUUUAGCAACGUUAUUAUUUUUAGGUUGACUGGAAUUCAUUUUUCUUUGAUUAUUUUCCCUUUCUUGUCAUCAAACAUAGAAAAAGCAGGAAAGUAAAUUCCAAGAAUUCACUUUACUGCAAUCAAACACGGCCUUGAUCCUCAAUCAAACGGGUCUCAUCUCGAUUUUAUAAAAACUAUCCAAUGAUGUUGAUUCGAGGAUGUUCACAAGCUUUUCGCUGUUGGAAGUUUGCAAGCGAAUCUCGUUUUUACCAUCCAAAAAAACUUCUUUUGUACAUCUUCUCACAUGUCAAGGCACAUUUUGAUUAGGGAGACCGUAUAACUUUAUUUCGUUCAAUUUAUGCUGUUUGACAUAUAAAUAUUGUUCAAUGUAAAUCAACUUUUCAUUGUUUUCAAAAAAAUUUCACCUAGUUUAAAUCGAAACAAAUGCUUGCCAGUAGUUAAUAUUAAUUGAGAUAUGUGUUUGGGAGUGUGAAGUGAAGUGAUUAUAUUUUAUUUAAAAAUAAAAAUAAAAUUUUUUUGACACGCAACCGCCGCGAUUAAGUAAAAAAAAAAAAUAGCGCGAAAAGUGCCAAAGGCCCAAAUGUACGCCAAUUUGCAAUGGCAAGUCCCGUAAUUAUUUCAAAAUCAAAUGUGAAAAAUUGAAAGUCACAAGAAGGCAUGAAAAUAUCCUCUUAUUUGAACUUUUAUCUCGUUUAUAUCCUUUUACUCUUUUCUUCAUGUAUAGACAUGGAAAGUCAUGUUCUGAUUUGUUCCUGUGGAAUCAAAAAAUUUCUUCCUCAAUUUUUUUUAUGGAAUGAAGUGAUUUCCCGGUAGCUUCACCAUCCACUUGCAAUUUAUAUAUAUAUAUAUAUAUAUAUAUAUAUAUAUAACUGCCAAAGAAAAAAAUGCAUUGAUUAAAAUAUUGAUGUGUUUGAAUGAAGAAAGUCAGGGCAGAGAUGACCAACAAAAACCACCGUGUGGGCCAAUAAAAUGAAAAUAAAAGACAAUAUCAAUGGCUUGCAAUAAAACAGUGUUUGUUUUAUGUUAAAUUACUUGAUUAACUAAACUUAAUCUUGUAAUAUUGAAUUAUUUGAUGAAAACAUUAUCUAAAACAUGAUCAAUUGAUAUAUCUAAAGUCAAAUAAAAAGUUUAUACUAUACUUUGCCAUUUUCAUGAUUUUAUCUGCAUAUAUUGUUCAGUUUCCAUGAUUUUAUCUGGGAGGAGUCAAUUUAAGUUAUUUGCAUGCCACUUUCUCAGCAAUUGUUGUCCUAUUUUGUGCUAAAUGUCGGGUGUAUAUUAAAUUAGUCAAAAGUUGCAUAACCCGCUUUCUCCAUUACUGUUCUGUAACAAUAUUUUGAUAGCCCUUUAGCAUUAAUACUAUUUAAUUUGUCCUCUUCAUGCGUUUGAUCGGACAGUGACAAUUAUCUGUAUCAUUGAAUUUUCUAUGCUGAAUUAAUUAUCCAAGGGAGACUUGGGCUUCAUUGAAUGGGAGAAUCUUCACGGACAGUGCUAGCCAGGGGACCGCACCACGGCACAGAUCACUCGGUUUGUGGUGUUGGAUUAGGGUGUUUGGGAGUGUGGUAGCGGUUGCUUUUCAAAUAGCUUUUCGUGCCGAAAAGCAUGCCAAUAAUGUUUUUUUAUUUUUUAAAAAUCAUUUUUGACAUCAGCACAUCAAAACGAUCCAAAAAGUACAAACCGCACUCAAUUUUAACAAAAAUAAAUAAAUAAAAAAUUUUUGAAUUUUUUCAAAAAACCGGUUUGGCCGCAUUGCCAAACAAACCGGUUUGUGGUGUUGGAUUAAAGGAUAUUCCAACUUCUUGUUUACUGCUUUACUUUUCUUCAUAGACUUGGGAAGUCAAGAUUCCUAUAAUCCACAUCAUCAAAAUAAAUUUUAAUUAUUUGAGCGAUUCAUUUGAUAUUAACCCCACAAUUAUUUUAAUUAGUCUGUUAAUGUUUUUCUUCAAGCUUGUGGAGCCGCAUGUUCACCAACUAUUUUGUUUUUUUUUUCUUUGUAUAUUUAAAAAGUCAUUUAAUUUAAGUUUUUAUGGUAAUUUAUUUUUGUGUUUUAAAAGUAUUUUUAAAUAAAUUUAAUUUUUUUUAUUUUUUAUUAACUUCAAAUUAAUAUAGUUUUAGUAUUUUUAAAUUAUUUUGAUGUGCUGAUAUUAAAAAUAAUUUUUAAAAAAUAAAAAAAUAUUAUUAAUAUAUAUUUUAAUAUAAAAAAUUAUUUAAAAAACAACCACAAUUAGAUGUUGUAGUGCUUGUUUUUAUUCUUCGUAGACCUAUGAAGUCAAAAUUCCCAAUUAUCCACUGCAUCAAUCUCUAUCCCAUUAAAAUGAAUUUGGUGCAAGAAAAUGAAUUUUAAUAUUAUUAAUAUAUAUUUUUUAAAAAAUAUAGCGUAUAAAAAAGGAAAUCCUGUAUCAUAUCUUUCACAAAUCUUAAAUAAUUAAUGAGAAAGCAGAACAAGGAUAAAACAACAUUGUUUUUUAUAUAUAAAAAAUAAAUAAUUAAUAGAUUGCAAUUAGGUAUUUAUUCAAGUCAGGCCAACUAUUAACCGAGUCACUUGGAUUUCUCAUUAUGCAUAUUUAAGAUUGCUAAAAAAAAAAAAUUAGUUUAAUUUCACAUAUAAGCUAAUUCGAUAACACUUUUUAAUAUAAAACCAAAAAAAAUGAGUGCUAUCGUCAUCAACUUUAUUUGGUUUAAAUUUAUGACGUUUGACAUAUAAAUUCUAUUCAAUUUAAAUCAACUUUUCAAUAAAUAGUUAAUGUUAAUGAGCACAGUAGCGAGAACUAAGCAGUGUUAUGUGUAUUUGGGACUGUGAAUACUGUACACUUUGGCUCUCUUCAUAGAGUCAAUUGACUUUCACACGUAGGGCAUGUUUGUUUCCCGAAAAACAGUUUUCGGGAAACCAUUUUCCAAACUUUCCUGUGUUUGUUUGUUAUUAGGAAAGUUGGUCAACGGAAAAUACAUUUCGGUCAACGGAAAACACUUUAUAGUCAACGGAAAACACUUUCCAGUCAAAGAAAAAUUUGACUUGGUUUUCAGGAAAGUGUUUUCCCUUUAGCUGUGUUUGUUUUCCGGAAAGUGGUUUCCGGAAAAUCACUUUCCAAUCCGGUCAACGGAAAACACUUUCCAGUCAAAGAAAAAUUUGACUUGGUUUUCAGGAAAGUGUUUUCCCUUUAGUUGUGUUUGUUUUUCGGAAAGUGAUUUCCGGGAAAUCACUUUCCAAACUUUCUUUUGUUUGUUUGCUAGUAGGAAAGUUGUUCAAUGGAAAACACUUUCCAGUAAAAUGAAAGUUUGGCUUGGUUUUCAGGAAAGUUUUUUCCUGAAAAAUUUGAGGGGAAAACACUUUCCGGAAGUUGUGAAAAAUUUAGAAAUAUCAUUAUUUGUUGAUUAUAUCAAAUUUGAUCCUCAAACUUUUGAUUGCUAUAUAUAUAUAUAUAUAUAUAUAUAUUGAGUAUUUAUUUUUCAAUUUCAUCUCUUAAAAUUUUAUUUUUAUAUUAACUUUGGUCUUUAUUUUUAUAUUUGCUUUUUGCUUUUUCCUUAUCAUUUUUUUAUUGAAAUUUUGUAUCUAUCAAAUUUGGUCUUCAUUCUUUUGAUUGUUACUUAUUUUAUUUGAAACAAUUUAUAAAAUGUUGAUUAUUAUUAUUUUAAUUUCUUCAUCUUUUUUUUAAUUUUUUAGAUUUGAUCUCUAUUAUUUUGAUUAUUAUUUAUUUUAUUUGAGAUAAUUUAUGAAAUUAUUUUUUUUUUUCAAUUUCAUUCUCAUUCAACUUUUUAAUUUAUAAGAUUUGUUUCUCAUUAUUUUAAUACACUUGAGAAAAAUAAAAUAUUAAUAAGUUAUUUUCCAGCUCAUUUUCCAUGACAUAACCAAACACUGGAAAGUGUUUUCCAACUCAUUUUCCAUUACACUACCAAACAUCGGAAAAUACUUUCUCGGAAUUCACUUUCCUCAGAAUUCACUUUCCAAAAGGAAACUACUUUCCAGCAAACAAACGGAGCCGUAGUAAAAAUGAAAAACAAAUUACUCCGUGGAUUGGUGAUUAAACUACAAUACUAAAUAUACCCCCUGAUCUGUGGAUUUGUGAUUAAACUUGGAAAAAAACAACAAUACUCUAAAAAGCCAUAUGUGAAUUUGUGAUGAAGAAAAUUCAUUAUUUUUAUUUUUUUUUGACAUAUUAGGUUCCACUAGAUGCACCAAGUCAAUGUGAGUGGUUGUCUUUUUUCUUAUUUAUGAGAAUCCAAUAGAGGCAUCAAGUCUAGGGCUCCACAAUGUCUGCCACUAGUCAAUUUCCUCCAACUUGUUGUGUAAAUUACUUUGUUUUCUCUUCAUAUAUAGACAUGGAAAGUCACGUGAUCUAAUGGAAUACAAAAAUUUCUUCCUCAACUCUUUUCAUGGAAUGAAGUGAUUUCCCGGUAGCUUCAUCAUCCACUUGCACUUUUUUUUCUCCGUAGACUUGUGAAGUCGGUCAAGAUUCCCAAUAUAUUAUCAACAUCAUCAAUUUAAAAAAGAAAUAUAUGUUAGGCUGAUUUACUUUCAUAUUAAUUAUUGUUUGAAUAUUCUUCAUCUGAAUGAUAUUAGUCCAUUCAAAACAAAUUCAUUUUCUUUUUUAUAAAUAUAUUUAUAUAACUACCAAAGAAGAAAAUGCAUUGAUUAAAAUAUUAUUGAUGUGUUUGAAUGAAGAAAGUUAGGGCAGCGAUGACCAACAUAAACACCGUGUGAGCCAAUAAAAUUGAAAACAAAAGACAAUAUCAAUGGAUUGCAAAAAAAAAAAAGUUUUAUGUUAAAUUUAUCUAUAUGUUAAAUUACUUGAUUAACUAAACUUAAUCAUUUAAUAUUGAAUUACUUGAUGAAAACAUUACCUAAAAUAUAAUUAAUUGACAUAUUUAAAGUCAAAUAAAAAACAAACCCCGCUUAUUUUUAAUAUUAAAUAUUAUUUUUUAAUAUAAAUUCUUCAACAUGAAAAAUUAACAAAAUUUAAAUAAAUUGUGAUUACUGUUUGAGCGAUUGAUUUGAUCUUGGACCCAUAAUUAUUUUCGUUAGUCUGUUAAUGUUUUUCUUCAAGCUUGUGAAAUUGUUACCCAUGUAAAUGCUAUGUUUCUCUUUAGAUUUUUUCCUACCCUUGAAACUGUUAUGAACAUAAGUAAAAGAGAUGAAAACUCCUUUACCCACGUAUCGAGUGUCGCACGUGUACGACAGCGCGACGAAUCGUCCACCCUCAAAUGAAAAAAAAUCGGAAUAUUUAUUCCUGGAAAAUAGUCAGAGACAAGGAAUUCUUGUCUCUACAAGUAAAAAUAUGGACUGGGAGACUGGUUACUAGGAACUUUAACUGGUCUUUAGAGAUCGGGUACGGAGACUGGUUACGUAAAAGAAAGGUAUAAGCACCCCAAUUACACCCUACCUAAGGUAGGCUGCAUUGUUUUAAUGUCUGAUAACAUCUAAGGUCGUGUUUGUGGAUUUUAAUAUUAUUGUUCGGAAUACGCAUUACAUGUAAUGUCAUAUCCCAAGUUCUAUUAAAAAAAAAUUAAAUAUCCGGAAUAUGUAUUGUGUAUAAUGUAUAAUGUCAUACCCCGGAUAUUAAAAGAUAAACAAAAUAAAAUUUUUGUUGUUUUUUUGAAAUUUUGGCCAAUAUUCUCUUGACUUUAAUAAACUGGUUAUUAAAGCCAAAAUGCAUGCUAAAACAUUGUUUUUCUCUUUUUUUUAAUUUGUUUUUGUAUUCUUGAAAGUCGAAAACCGGGUAUUUCAGUACCAGAUUUGUAUUUUACGACAUAAAAAUAUUGCCCGAUAUUAAUCAAAAUGACAUAAAAACUACGCGGAAAAAUUAUAAAAUGCUGAAACAAAUAUUUUUGAUUUUUUUUUGAAUGGGCCGGGUGAACAGUAUCGUGUGAACAGUAAUGAAUACGGGGUAUUUUAAUACCAGAUUUAUAUUUUUACGAUGUAAAAUACAGACGAUAUUAAGCAAAAUGAUAGAAGAAAACGUGCUUUUUUAAAAAUAUGUAUAUAUAUAUAUAUAUAUAUAUAACUUAUAACAAAAAAAUAAAAAUAAAUAAAUAAAUAACUGGCCGGACCCGACCCAAAUGCAUGGGCCGGGCCGACCAAGCCUAUUUACAUGGGCUGGGCCAAAGGCCCAAACGGGCUGGUUACUGUGCAUCAGCACAGUAACCAGCCCUUCCUUAUUUGCAGAACGUGAAAUAAUUCACGUUCUGCAUGAAGGCACAGCGGAUAACAAAGGGAGGCAGAGGCGGGGCAACAGGAUGGCGUACCUGCGGUGGCGUCGAGGCGGUGCGGCUGGCGGCGGAGGCACGGUGGCCGGCGGAGGCACGGUAGCCGGCGGUUUUCCUUCUCUCUCUCUCCUCUGUUUUUGUUCUCUUCUCUGCCGAUUCUCUUUCUUCUUCUUUUUUCUUUUUCUUUCUGUUUCUCUCGUCUCUCUCUACCCUCUUUCUGUCGUGCAAUCCUUCUCCUUCUCCCCCUCUUUUUUUUUCUUCUCUGCUUCGGUCCCCUUCCACUGUUUUUAUAGGAAAAAAUAGGGGGGCCGAAUGGUGGGGCGGCUUGGCCGCCCCUCCACUAUCCGUUCAAAAGGAGGCAAGUGGGGGUCGAAUGGUAGGCGUCUUAUUGCGCCAAAUCCGGGAAAGAAGUUCGGCGAAAAGUGGAGAAGAAAAAAACUCUUCUCCCUUGUUCUCUGCGUGCGCAGGGAAGAAGACGAUGGUGUCGUUUCAAAACAGCACCGUUUUACGUUUUCUCUCUCUUUUUUUUUUAAAAUAAACAGUGCAUGAAACGACGUCGUUUUGGUCAAAACACGCCGUUUCAUUUAAAAGGAAAAGGCGGUAAAACACGUCAGAUUCAAAUUUAGUCCAUCAAUUUGCGCGCGUUUUACGAUUUCGUCCUUGGUCUCGGAUUUCUGAAAUUAAGUCCUUAAUUGACCAUUAAACUUCAUUCUUUAUGCAAUUAAGCCCCUGAUUUGACCAAAUUAACUUUCAAAAAUUAUAAGUUGACACCAGAACUUUAAUUUCUUCCAAUUCAAGCCCAAAAUAACUCCAAAAUCAAUUGUUUUUGCAAUUAAAACCUCUAUAAAUUCAAUUAAACCUUCAAUAAAAUUUAAUUGAGUCCAUAAACUUCUAAUUUUGCAUUUUUCUUCCUCAAAUUGAAUUUUCUUUAUCAUCGAGGCUCUCAUCAGUCAAUGAUAUACUGUCAGAAAUGAAAUUUUAUUUGUUUGAACAUCCUCAAUCAAUUUUUGAGCAUUUUUAGGGCACUCUGACAUUUUUUUUUUACUGUUAUAUUUUUUGAUAAUAUAUUUUUUUGAAUUGUUUUGUAUUUUUUAGGUGAGGACUCAAAAAUGGGUUACAACAUCGAGCAUACCCUAGUUACAUAACACUAGUUAAAUCUUGACAUAACAGUUCAAGUUAAUUAAUGGCUAGGAUUUUGUUUAGUGGAUUUGUUUUUUGAAAUUAAAUAUCAUAUCAAUAAACAAAUAGCAACUAAAAAUGUAACUAAAAAUAGCAAUAUUUGUUUAAAUAUCAUAUCAAUAAACAAAUGUAACUAAAAAUGUAACUACUAAAAUAGAUAUUUUAUUUUGUUAAUUUUAUUUGAAAAAGCUUUUGAACAUAAGGACUCCAUAUUUUUUUUUUUAUGAUUACUAUAUUGGAUAGGCUUAAUGCCCCGGUAAUAACCAGGAUAGGAGGCCGACUUAAUUAGAGUUGAUAGGGCACAAAUAUAUAUAUAAUGUGCUCCGAUUAAUACAAAAUUAAUUAUAAUAAUAAUUAGGGUUUGUUCUUUUAUUCAGUUUCUUGUUAUCUAUUUUUGGGUUCUCUCACAAAAAAAAUUGCAAGAAAACAAAAAAUAUGAACAAUUGAUUUGAUCUUAUGAAAUACAUGGCAGAAGAGAUUAGAAAAUGAUUUCCAUUUGUCAGAAAUACACCCCAAUAGUCUUAAUUUGAAUUGCACUUUGCACUCCUUUUCCAGCGAUCAAUAGCUAGGAAACCUGUCAGUGAAAUCUUUAUUAUUUGCUCCGGGUUGCUGCUGCUGGUUACUCUGUCACGGAUUAUUAUUUUUCAGUAGUCAGUUAUCCUAGUGCUUGCUUGGACAUGCUCAACAAUGGAGUUCCUCUAAAUGUAAUUACCAAAGUGAAAUCUUCUGUCAAAGUCAUUUCAAGCCGGAAAAGAUCAGGAAAAAGAAGUCUUGAAACAUCAAGCGAAUAGAGCCCAGCAGGAAAAAUUCGUUUCUGACGGUGAGAUUUGUAAUGUGAUCCUAGAUACAAUCUCAUCUCGAUUAGACUCCAGUACUGGAGGAUGUGAUUGCUGAUAUAAAAAAUAAAUAAAUAAAAACACUUAUAUGUUAUUUCUCAGUUCAAAUCUGGUGAUGAGAUUCAUACAGAAGGACUCGUGGCACGGCUGAAGCAGAUCCAAGGUCAAUACUUGAGGAAAAUCUUGGAACCAUUCCAGCUACUAUUAUUUUUUCCAACUAUUAGAUCUUAACAUCAACAGUCAAUAUCGUUGAAAAAAUCAACAUUGAAGCCAUACAAAUUCACGUAAGGGACACACAAACCCCACAAGAAAGAAAGGAAAAGGGCCUCACAAGAAGUAAAUAAAAUCUCACAAUGAGUAAGAAAACCAAACAUAUUGUAGAAUAAAAGUAAGGCAUUGGAUUGAUCGUUCAUUAGCCGUUCAUGAUCAUGAAUCAAAUCAUUACAUAAAUCAUCACCCACGCAAGUAAAAUAAAAAUCAAGGCUUUGGAGAUUGCUUAACCUUUCCAACAGCGUUGCUGUUUCGAUCGGUAGGCUUGAUACUUUUAGUUUUAUCUAUGUUAACACUAUAGGUAAUUAAGAGUUUAUUUGGUAAUGUGGUUACGGUUAUUUUUUAAAUAAUUUUUUGUAUUAAAAUACAUGUCAAUGAUAUUUUGACAUCAGCACAUCAAAAUAAUUUGAAAACACGAAAAACAUAUUAAUUUAAAGUUAAUAAAAAAUUAAAAAAAUUCAAUGAUAUUUUGAUAUUAGCACAUCAAAAUGAUUUGAAAACACGAAAAACAUAUUAAUUUGAAGUUAAUAAAAAUUUAAAAAAAUUUAAAUUUUUAAAAAUAUUUUUAAAAUAUAAAAAGAAACAGGCUCAACCGCGGAAAGUCUUGCAAAACAAAGCAUGUAUAGGGAGGGUGGCAGACACGUAGCUUCGCUGUGAUUUCUUGACAUUAUAUUUUUUAUUGAUUUGUUUUUUUGUAUUUUAUUAUUUUUUAUGCGGACACCCAAAAAUGAGUUACAACAUUAUUUGAGAAUAGACAAAAAAAAAUUUUUAAUUCAGUUAUAGGAUGAUGAAUUCUCUCUUGGUCAUUCAAAUAUCUUCAUAUAGUUUACAUUAUACCUAAUAUUUACUUAUUUUUUACCAUUGAUUAGAAUAAUAUGUAAUCAGGAUCAAAACAUAACACUCCCUAAAUAAAAUAACUUGGUGAUCUCAAGUCCUUUAAUCUUUGGUGCUUCCCUGAAGGUAGAGUUUCAUCUAUGGCUUUUAAUCUUGAAUAAAUUGCCUAAAAAAAAAAAGACUAAAACUGUGAAUUAUAUUUUACUUUAUCAUAAGAUGGUUUAGAAGUUAUGAUAUCGGGUGACAAAAUAGUUGGGACAAUAGUUGAUCUUGCCUCAAUCUUUGGAUGACGUCUUCUUAUUAUGGAAUGGCAUGGUAUAGGGAUUUAUGACAAAAAAAAAGUGGUGUUUAUUCUUCUCUGGUAUAGUUUAGUCUAUUUAGAAUACCUGUAAUAAUAUAAUUUUUAAUGAGAAAGAAACAAAUUAGAAUGGGAUAUAUUAUUUCUUUUUUAAUUGGGCUGUUAUUUGAGCGAAAUAUAAAGAUUUAGAGCUUUUUCUAUACUAGGUUAGAUUUAAUUUGUUCAUCAAAUUAUUUUUUUAUAUGGACUAAAAAUAUAAAUAUGAGAAUUGAUUCUCCAAUAUUAACGCAUCUUCAAAUGACAAAACAGGGUCUUUAAGAAUUGGUGGUGUUUUUAGUGAUAAUGAAGGAAGAUUCCUUUGUAUUUUUUUCUUGUUCAACAGGUAAUAUAGAAUCUAUUGAAAUUGAGGUCUUGUUAAUUUGAAAAGCUAUGAUUGCUACUAUGUUAUUAAUUGAUGAGUUAGAUUCUUACGAUGUCGUUACACGUCAUAAUUAAAGCAUAAAAUGUCGUGCACGCCGAUGCUUGACUUGCGGUUUUCCAUUUUGAUUUUUAAAUACCAGAAAACAGUAAUUUCCUUAUAGAAACUGGUGGUCUCCUCACGACAUUUUUUUCAAAUAACUGUUGUCAGAAAAUGACUAUCCUCAUUAACAGUAAUUUAUUAAUUUUUUUUAAUAUACUUUGUUCAUGUGAGGUUGUGUUUUCAAAAUCUUCCAAGAAAAAAAGGGACUAAAUGAUGAACCAAAUUGAAUUUCACGCUCCUAAUUUAAUAAAUUAAAAUUUUCAAGCUCUAAAGUUAUAUCCUUAGCACCAUACUCUAUUAAGGAAAAGCUCUAAUAUUUUUAUCAAAAGUUUAUAAUUUAAUAAUCCAAUCUUAAAACAAUACUUUAAUUGUUGAUAUAAAAAUUUAAAACUGAUCUAAUCAAAAGAGUUCAAAACUAAAUGGAAAAAAUAAUUAAAAUAUAAAACUAACUAGAAAAGUAAUUAAAAUAACAAAAAUAAAAUCUUUUGAGCUUAAUUUGAAAAGAUUUGUGUGGUGGAUGUUCAAACAUAUAGUUUUGAAACCCGAUCCGGUGAUCGACCCGGUUUAAUGAUCGGGUCACGGGUCCAAUGGGUUGACCCGGGUUAAUCCAGGUCAACCUAAAAAAAAAAAAAAAAAACUAAUUAAAGGGCAUUUUAUGAAUCAGGGGCAGGGCCGGGCGGUUAAAGAGGAAGAGCUUAUAUAGGCUCCAUUGCUAAAUUAACCUAAUGAGGUGAAAUUUAUCUUCCCCUCCAAUUUGAAAAUAUUUUGAUUGAGUUCAGGGCACAGAGCCCUAGACAAUGAAAAUUAGUAUUCCCCUCCUAUUCAACUUGAGAAGAAUCUUGUCCUCACCUAAAGCAUCUCCUACAUUCCAAAGGCUAGAAGUCUGCUUUCUUCGUAUUUGAGCAUCUUUGCCUCUUUUACUCUGAAUAGAGAAGGAGCUGCUCUAGAAUGCCCUCUUUUGAGGUGCAGAUGAGGUGGAGGAAUCGGUUGUGCACAGUUCCUACUGGGAGGUAUAGUAAAGAAGGUAUAAUCAAUUGGUUUUUCAAACUGUAGCAUAGACACUUGUUUGCCACAGUGGGGGUAGGUACUUUUAGUAAUGAUGAAGAUGAAGAUUUCAGAUGAGGAUUUGGAGAGGCCAUUGGCCAUUUCAGAUGAAGAUUUCAGCCGGGUUUCAGCUGGGUUUACCCGGGUCAACCAGGUUUCGGGUCGACCCGCCGGGUCUACGGGGUUUCACCGGGCCAACUCCCAAGCUAGUUUUUUCUUAGACCCAGACCGGUCCUAGGCCAGGUCGGCUGGGUCCCGGGUCGACCCGUUGGGCCGGUCCGGGUUUCAAAGUGUUUUUCGUUGACUAGAAAGUAUUUUCCGUUAACUAACUUUUCUAAUGAUAAACAAAUACAGGAAAGUUUGAAAAAUGGUUUCCCAGAAAUUAGUUUCCGGGAAACAAACAUGGCCUUAGUAGACCUAGGAAGUCAAGUUUUCUAAUUAUCCACGUCAUCAAUCUCGAUCCCAUCAAAAAUUAAUUUGGUCGAAGAAAGAAAAAAAAAAUUAUCAAUUAUUUUCAAGCUUGUGGAACGGGUGUUCCUCCAUUUUCUUGUUUAACUGUUUUCUUUGCAGACUUGGGAAGUCAUAUGUUAUGAACAAUUGAUUUGAUCUUGUAAAAUUUAUGGCAGAAGAGAUUAGAAAAUGACUUCUUCUUUCAAUAAUCUUCUUCUUUGUGAAAUGAUUUCCCGAUACAGCUCUUAAUUUCAACACCUGCUUGCUCUUCUUUUCUUAGUAGACCUGGGAAGUCAAGAUUCCUAAAUAUCCACAUCAUCAACCUCGACCCCAUCAACAAUAGUGCCCACCAGGAAAAAUUAGUUUCUGACGGUGAGAUUUGUAUAGCUAGUAAACAUGCUCAACCAAUAAUCAUAAAUGAUGCCAAAAUUGUAGUCAAAGAGACUUGGAACUCCCUGAUGAUGGUCUCUAGCUCUGGAGGUUUAUUCUGCCAAAAUUGCAUGGGCCGUUUUACAGCCUUCGUAAUGGGCUUGGCUACUUUGGGUAAUUAAAAAAACCCAAAUCGAUAAUGUUUUUUUUUUCCUUCGGUAUCCGUUUAAUCAAUCUUCUGGUUUGAUCCUUGAUAGUGCUGUGUUUUGAUGCUUGUCGAUUAGCCACAAUAAUGUUAAAUUUACAAGGACAGGUCCAAGAAAAGCAAUGCAGGCCUGUAUUGGUCUCUGGGAGUCCGCUGAUAAAGGCUGCAAUCAUUGCUUGAACCCUUGUAAAGGGGCCUUUACACAUGAGGUCCACUGAAGAAGUACAACACCGUUUUUUAUUUAAUUCUUAUGGUUUAAAUCUACUAAUAACUUAGUCAUUUUGCAUGCUAUUUUCCACUUGUUUUGUAAAAUAGAGAAAAGAACAAAGUAAAUCUUUUUUUUUAGUUUAUGGCAUGUUCUCAAAAGUUUUAUUGAUAUUAAUUAAAUAACAAAGACAUUGAUGUAGCUGAAAAUUGAGAACGAGAGGGAUGAUCAGGAAUGGAUUAAGCAAAUUGGGCUUGAAAAAGACCCAACAGCAGAGAAAAAUCUGAAAUAAACUCUUGAUGUUCAAAAUAGCCCACAAGCAAGGCUUAAAUAGUUAGGGCUGAGAAAAUUACCAAAAUAGGUAAAUACUGAUUAUUCAAUAAAUAUAGAAACUUCCUGGAAUAAGUUUGAUAUCCUUUAAUUUUUUUACCGUCUUAGAACAGUUUAUCCUGUUCGAUUCCGCUUUGCUUCGACCGACCACAAUGAUCCCAUAUCCAUCUAUACAAAAAUCGAUUAAGCUGUCCGUUGACACAUUAACUUCUCUGGCUCCAUUCCAUCCUGGAUUAGCAAUCUUUCCCGGAUCAUUUAUGCCCGUUAGAACUGUUAAGCAUGUUGGAUAUUUUGCAUAAUAAGCUCUCGGGUCCUUUAUCCUCUUGUUUGUCCAAUUUAACUUUCAUGGCAAACGAUGCAAAAUGCUAUCUAUCUUUUUUUUGUUUUUUAACUCUGGGUGUCCGGGUCAGUUUACGCGCACCACAACUAAUCUCAGGACCUACUGAACAUCCUGCAAGCUCAGUAGGCAAAUAAAGUACCGCCGGGGUGACAGACUGGUGCACAGCGAGGAUCGAACUCGGGCAAUUGACCACUGAGUUAAACCCUCAAGUGUCAGCCCUACAACUUGGCCUAGUAUUCAAUAUUUUGAUAAGUCAAAUCUUGUACUCAGAGGCGCAACUAAGGGGUGGCAAGUAGGGUCGGGCCCUGCAACCACCCCUACAAAAUAUUUUAGAAUUUAUUUUUAUUUCGUUAGUUAUUUAUAAAUUUAAAAUUGCCUCUUCGUAUAAGUUGGAAAAAAUAAAAGAUAAAUAAUUUUUUCAAUUUAAUUACUUUUCUUUAUUGUUUUUUUAUUUCCAUUCUCUAAAAUCCUAACCAAAAAAAUAUAAUAAUACAAAGCAAAAAGAAAAAGUUAAAACAAAGUUAUCAAUUAAUUCAUUGUUCAUUGAAACAAGAUAAUUAAUGACCCAAAUUUAAAAUCUUUUGUUUUUUUUGUUUGUUAAGAAUUUGCUUAGAUGUAUAUAUAUAUAAUUAUGCUUCUUUUUUUUAUAGAUCUACUAGGUUUAUCAUUUUUUUAUUUCUUGCUAUAGUGAAUGUUGUUUUUUUGUAAUGAAUUGGAUAUAUUUUAUGGGUUUAUUUUGAUUAUACAUAUAUAUUUUUUUGUUUUGUUUUUAGCAGAAUCGUUAAAAUUAUCAAUUUUUUUCUCACAUAUACCUUACUAUCACCAGAUCCAAUAUAUAAUUAGACACGAUUUUUCUAGCCAAAUUAAGUUCUUUGAAAAACACAUGCCUAGUUUUAAUUCAAUUUAAGUUUUCUUUUUUAGAAAUCAAUAAUUUCAUUUUUUAUGUUAGAUUUGUUUUUAUAUAUCUUUUUUUUUAAUAUGUUGAUUUUGCUUUUAUAAGCCAAUAUGGUUUACAUGUAACAAAUUAUAUUUUAUUAUAUUAGUUUUGACCCUUCCUGUUAAAUAAUCUCAGCUACGCCCCUGCUUGUACUGAUGGGUUUGCCUCAAGUAGGCUAUUCUUAUCGUGAAAAUAAGUUCACAAACAACAUUGCAGAUUAAUCUGUCGAGUUCUCAACAAAAAGACAGUCUUACUCCUAUCGAGAUGAUCUUCUUCCUUUCAUGUCUGGUAUUGAUUUUUCUUACAACGGAUUCACUGGCAAAAUCCAACCAAAUUUUGAAAUUGUAAGUGAGCUACGAGCGGUAAAUCUAUCACACAUUAAUCUCAUUGGAUCCAUCCCCGCAACUCUUUAGAACCUGAAGCAGAUUGAGAGUUUGGAUCUUUCUCACAGCAAAUUGACCGGUACGGUACCAUCCCUUCGCAGCUAUUGAGGUGAGCACAUUGGAGGUUUUCAGUGUUGCAUACAAUAACUUGUCCGGUAAAACUCCAGAGAGGAAAGCUCAGUUCGGAACCUUUGAUGAAAGUAGUUAUGAGGGAAAUCCUCUUCUUUGUGGACCUCCAUUGCGAAUUUGCAGUGAAACAAACUCGUAAUUGCGCAGCCUGUACCUAAUAAUGAACAAGAAGAUAAUAAUGGUUUCGUAGACAUGGAUGCUUUCAUUGUGAGCUUUGAGGCAUGUUACAUAAUUGUGUUGUUGGCAAUUGCAGCAGCUCUUUACGUAAAUCCUUACUGGAGAAGAAGAUGGUUUUACUUCAUUGGAGAGUGCUUAAGCAAUUGCUACUGUUUUCUAGUGGUUAAUUUCCGUAAGCUGUCCAACAUCAUGUCAUCGGACCUCUGUAUAAUCAUUCAAUUAGAUGACACAUUUAAAAAUUUUAAAAACUAAUAAUACUAUAACUAUGAAGAACACCUAAAAUAUUUAAUUUUAUUCUUCCAAGUCUCUGCUAAACUAAUGAUACACAAUUGUGGUACUAGCAAUUGCGGGAGUUUUGUACAUAAACCCAUAUUGGCGACAUAGGUGGUUUUACUUCAUUGAAGAGUGCAUGGAGACUUGCUACUUUGAAUUGCAUACAUUUCAUAAGCUAUCCUCCUUCAUAAGGCCAUAGGGUCUGAUGCGUGCCUUUUGUUUUUUCAUAUUUUUUAGUUUGAACUAAUAAAACCUUUACUUUUUUUCAAGCUUCAGUUCAUUUUAUUGCAGUUUCUCAAAUGAAUUCUACAAAUUCAAGAUAUAUAUGCAUCCUUAAUGCCAUAUUAAAAAGAAUAUAUAGAUAGAAGAAGAGGAGCUUUACGUGAUAUGGAUAGCGUGAUGCUCCUAAGCCUAGAACCAGCUAAAACUUAAUAUUAUGAUGAAUAAUUCAGCAAAACUUAAUUCAAUUUCAACUUCCAAUCUCAUCAUUAGUACAAAAUGCAGAGUCAGAUUGAAAGGAAAUUGAUUGGAACUUGAAAUUCAGGUAACAAUACUUCUAGCAGAGCUUCCUCCUUAGCCUCUCCCUAUUGUAUCUUCUUCGAGUGGAACUCUUAGCUUUUUGCCCUCCAAGAUAUAUGUUCUCAUCUUUCUCAAGUACUCUCUUUUCCAUCCAGCAUAAGCAAUCACAACUUACCUCAACGGAAAACUUUAUAGCCAACUUCAAGUCUUCAACCAAUAUUUAAAAGGAAUUUUGUCCUUUGUUUGAUAAGCAAAAUCAACAGAACCUGUCGUUGACUUUCUAGCUCAUAUAUAGCAGUAGCCAUUUUAAGGAGCAGAAACAAACACUGUAGAGAUUUAUCAUCACGAAAAUCUAGUUGAAGCCAACUACAUCAAAACUCCACAGCCAAUGUAUUAAUCUAGUUCUGUAAGCCUACACCUUUGGCAUUUUUAUAUAAACUUAUAUCCUAGCUUAAUAACAAGUAUUUUAGUUACUGGAAAAUAAAUAGAUAAGAUAAUCCUAACUUAAUCUAAAUUAAAUAGUUAACACAAUAACACAAAUCAAAACUCAGGAAACAAGAAACAAGUGUGAAUUGAGUUAAAACAAAUAUGAAAUCAAAUAGAGGAUGGAAAGUUUAUUUUUAGAUCAAGAAUAGCAUGUAUUAAAAAGAUAAUAAAUAAAAUUAGAGUAAUAACAUUGCUACAACUUAUCAUUAAAUUUCAUUUGCAAUUUCCUCUCAAUUUUCUGUAGUUUUGUAGAGACAAAGAUUAGUUGGUCCUUACGGGAAUUUUUCUUCCUUAAUUUCACUCCCAUUUUCCAAACGAUGGAAUUCAUACAACCUUUCGAUUUUAUUUCCACGUAAAAUCCAUUCUUCUGUAUCAAACAGAACAUAAUAAUGGGCCAUAUUUUAAUUUAAAUAUCUUUUUCCUAAUAUUUAAAGCCUUUUUGCUGGGAAAAUGGGGAUUUGAGAGAAAAGACAAUAGAUAAGAAAGGACAUAAAAAAAAGUGAGAGAAAAUGAUGGUGGGUCUUCAUUCUUCAAGGACCGUAUUGGAACUCCUUGGAGGCAUGCGUGAGAGGUGAAAUGGAAAAGUAUAGGGAUCAAAGUGUAAUUUCAAUGAAUAUAUAGGGCUUAAAAUACAAUUUACCCUUAAUUUUUCAUGGAUGACGCAGUCACAAGGGGAGGAUAGAGGUCAUUUCUGAAAUGAUAAGACAGGCAGUGACAAUAAGUAAAAUUUUGUAAAUCAUCAUCAAUAAGAAAUCAUGACGUGGGGACAGAUCAGACGGUUGAUAGUGACUCUUUUUACCCGCUCUCUUUCUCUCCGUGGGGGGUUUUAGGACAGUAUCGCGCGAGAUGCGCGGGUGCCGUGUUCUUACAUUUCCAAGGUGCAUAGUGGGAUCCAUGUCUUUAUCCAACCAAUUAAAAUCUUGUACUCCUUGGGACCCACUCGGUUUCUAGUUUUUUCUUUUUAAAAAAACAAAUUCAUAAAAGCCCUCAACCUUCGAGGCUCCUCUCAAGCUAGUCUCAUCUCUAUCAUAGCAAUAUUAGAAUUUUUAUUCAUUUUUAGUUAACAGAAAAUUUAAGUAAUCACUUGAAAUUUAUAUGGUUUUUUUUAUAUCACUUGAAAUUUAUAUGGUUUUUUUUAUAUCACUUGAAAUUUAAGUAAUCACUUGAAAAAAUUCUCAUUUUAAAUCGCUUGAAACUAAUUUUAUAAAGAAACACAACCAUCUUACAUUUUUAUAAUUUAUAUAAUUUGUUUAAUUACAUUAAAAAAUGAUAUAAUAAGAUGAAGAGAAAUCACAUAAAUGUUUGAUUUUAUAGCCCUUUAAAACAAACUCAUCAAAAUAUUUAAUCCAAAUUAUAGACUCUAAUAUGAAUAAAUAGAACUGGGCUAACUAAAAAAAAGCAUGUUCAUGUAAAAUGACUAGUCUGACUAAAAAAAUCUAAAUUUCAUUUCGACCUUUAAAUCAUUUUUAAAUUUAAACAAGAGAUUCUAGGUCUCAAUUCUAUAAAAAGGUGGCCUCGGCUUGAUGUUUGAGUCAAUUUCAUUCUAGUCUGCAUGGCAAUGGUCCCACUCAAUCGCAGUAUCCACAUGAGCAGAGUCUAAUGAACUACUCAACAUGCAUUUGGUUCUGGUAAUUCAAUUAUGCGAAGGGUGUAGGUUCGAAUUCUUCGACUUAAACGAACAUGUUUGCGUAAUUAAGUGUUCAAUCACGUACUUCGCUAUUGAAAACAUUUAGAAUUUAUCAACAAUUCAAUUAAGCAGGUAUAUACAGACUUCCAACAUCUGUAGAUAUCAUUGAAUCAUUAGUGAACACUGAGUAGACCGAGAUCCAGAUCAAAAUGUGUCACUUAAGCUCUUAAUAUUACAGAAAACUUACAAUUGCCCUGAUGGUUAGCACAAAAGACCGGCUUGGAGUUCAGACUAGCCAAAUUGCCCAACUCUUUAAGCCUGAAUUUUAUCACCAUCAUAAAAUGGGGAAAUUAGUUUAGAUAUACAAGGCGAAAUGGAAUUAAUUACCUCACAUUUUGAACUUCAGAUUGGUAAUGCAUGACCACUUGCAGGUCCUCCUAGUGUUAGAACCACACCUUGAAGAUCACUUCUUGGAUUUGAUUCUUUGGCUAAUGAUGGAGCAGCUCUGAUUACCGGAUAUGUUCUGGUCACUUGAGUUUGUCGAGAACUAUGACUGGAUUCUUGUCCUGAGAAUGUUGUUGGAUGAUGAGAAGGCUUCAAGGUAUCAGUAUGAUUGGAGUUUGGAAAUUGAUGAACAAUGGGGAUUUGAGUUGCUGGUGAUGCAUGAUUUUGAGCUAGAAUUGCCCCUCUCGAUACGAAACCAGGUGCCUGAUAGAUAAAAUUAGGUUUCAAUUCGAGUUCGAAAUAUACUGCAACUGAGGAAGUAAUGAGGAGCUUACAGGUGAAAACAAGACCCCUCUGAAAAUCUUCCCAUUAACAGUUGCAGUCAUUAAAAGGCCUGAGUCGAAGGCUCCGUCAACUUUACCUCGAACUUCAGCACCAACCUAUGGAGAAAGAGAAGAAAGUGAAAAGCAUGUAUUAGCAGAACAGGAAGAAAAACAAAGACAGGAAAAAUUGUAAUCGACAAUGUUUUGCAUUGCAUAUAUCAACUUAAUGAUUUACCAGGUUUUGAAUACACCCUGGCUCCAUGGGUUUAUGUUCCACUGCUGGGAAUGGUGUUCCUUGCCUGCCCAACCCUGCAUGAACAUAUUGCUCUACUCUUUUAUUCUCUCUUGAAAUUUGGAGCCUUUGCCGGGUUUUUUGGAUCACAAGUCUAGGUAGUUUCUGAUUACUUGCAACACUAUCAGCCUGGUAAUUUCUUGGAAUUUUGUUUAACUGCCUAAAGAAAUUAAGUCCUUUGCAAGAUGUGAGGGAAUCAACUGAUUUCUGAACCGGUAUCUGUUCUUGGUCGGACUGAGACGGAGAUGAAUGGUGAGAGGGUGAAAGAGAAUGCUCUUCUUGUUCUAAAUCAAUCUCCCAUGCUUUUGAAUUUGUAGGUCUUAUCUUCUUAUGAUGCAGAGUAUCUGAAAGGAACGUUGUAGGUUUUUGUUAUUAAUACUACCUGAACUGAACUGAAAAGGUUGCUUUGAUUCUUCUGAUUCAUAUGAGCCCUUCAUGUCUAUUUCAUUGUUUCCCAGAAACAUUGACUGCUUCACAGAACAAAAUUAAUAACCCUCCCAACUUGAACAGGCAUAUUUAACAGGAGGUCAAGUGUUUGCAUUUUGAGAGUAAAUAGUUUAGUUACCGAAAUAUCUUCUGCUCCUGGGAGAAAUCUCUUUUCUUGAUUCCAAUGUUGUCCAAAGAUCUUGCACAUGGGAAUGUUGUAUCGACCAUUGGGAUGUUCUGCUCCAAGUUGCAAGACCAACAACUGAUUGAGAGGACGCUCAUCCUCUCUGCACCUGCACAUACAUACACACACACAUACAUACAUAUAGAAUUGAAUUAGGAGAUACAUGAAGAUUAUGGGAGGCAGUGUUGAGAACAGAAGCUGCAGAUGCGAAACAAAAACUUUCAGUUACCCUCCAUAGAUGACAAUAUCUGAGUCGGUGACAACCGCAGUGUGAGAAAACCUCCCUUGAGGUUGCUGGCCAGAUAUAUCAAGUUGAAUCCAUGAACAAGUACUCACAUCAAGCACCCAAACAUCAUUGUAGUAAUGUUUGUCCCCAACACCUCCAAUGACAUAAAGCUGCAGACCAUGGAAAGCACAUUAAAUCUCUUUCCAAAAGCCAACAAUUGAUAAAGGAGCAUCGAAGAAUCAAAGCCUUCAAGCAAAAACAGGUGAGCAUCAAUAGCACAGACAACAGAAUAGGGUAUAACAUUCCGAAGAAAAACUAGUCUAAUUUUCAAAUCUAUUUCAGUGCCAUGACUUGCCUUUGUUCCAAUAUAUAUAUAUAUUAGAGAUUGGUUGGUUAUUUAAAUUAAUUAUUGAUAUCCAUCAUUUUUUUAAUUCAAAGUUUUCUCUAUAGUUUAGGAAGAACGAGAAAUUUUAGAGAUUGAGAAACCCUAUAUUUUAUCCUUUGUUAAAUGUGGCAUCAAGUUAGGAGUAAGCCUUCUAGUUUAAUAGAUCAUAGAUAUAACACAAAUAUCUAUGUUCAUGUUAAAUAUUAAUGAACAAUGUUAUUUGGAUUUCUGUACUCUUAUAAUUGUUCAUUUGUAGAAUUGAUGGAGGUUCUUCAAUAGUUCUUCCAUGGAAUAGUUUAAAGAUCAGAUUUUAAUUACCUUCAGCAGGUAUGGUGCUAUGGAAGUCGACUCCGGUUAAGGAUAGGACUUUAAGAGUAGACAAGGGUCUCAUUUUCCUAAGAAAGCUUGCUGGGAGAGAAGAAUAAUCGAGGAACACUUCUUCCAGGCUAGACGAAUUACACAACCCUGUAGAACAGAUAAAAUAAAUCCAUUAAUAUAUUAUAAAUAUCAUAUUGUUUUAGGCACCAAAACUGUCACUGACCUUUCCCAAAGUGUUUAAAUUUACUACCACUUGCUUGUAAGGUCUUGAGGGAUGGCAACGCUCCCAAUGACUCUAUCAAAAUGCUUUCCUUGAAGUCAAUCAUUUCCAGAUACAAGAUUUCUAAAUUCCUUAAACCUGUGAUAUAGAGAACAAUCAAUAAUAAUUAUUUACAAUAAUUAAAUAAUUUUUAAUGUUAGAGUUAAUAUAUACAAGACAUAGCUUAAGUUAUUAAAUUAAAAUAAUUUUUAAUAUAAUAAUUAAAUAUUCACGAGAAUCAUAUCACCUUUAUUUAUUUUAAAAAAUUAAAAACAAAAUUAAUUAUGUGUAUAUUUAAGUUUCAAUUACUUCAAAAUUACUUCACUUAAAAAAUUACGAUAAAGAAUUAGUUAUAUAAAGCCUUUUUAAAGGUUCAUUUAAGCAAAUUAAUGGUCAAUCACACAUCUAAUUAUUAAACAAGUUAACUAAAGAAUAGAUUAAGCAAAAACAAUAUAUAUAUAUAUAUAUAUAUAUGUUCAACGAAAGUUAUGAUUAAGACACAUCUAAUUAUUAAAUAAGCUUAAUAAAAAAUAAAUUAAGCCUCACUAAAGACAUGCGCAGGUUCCGAGAACAAGUUGACUCUUGUCAAGGUGGUGAGCUCGGUGAAGGCAUUGUAAUACUCAGAGUAUGAAAAUAGAUAUGGAUCAACCUUUAAUGGGUUGCCCCCAUAGGUAAAGGUGGAGAGCUACCUGGACUCUUGAGACUAAGAGUGAGAGACUCACAGAGAAGUAAGGCGUGGUUCCUAGGGUGGAACAGAGGGCAGAUGCAACUCCUGGGUGAGUAGACUCUUGGAAGUAUGGUGAGCUCGUGAUCAUAUUGAGAUACUCAAAUAAUGACUGUCGCACUUGGAAAUGGAAAUUUCCGUUUGAGGGGGUGUUGUAAGCCUUGGUGUGAGGCUUGAUGAAUCAUUCCGGACCGAGCAUGGUUAAUACGCUCGAAGGGGAAUGUUGUGUCCCAGAGACAAGCGUGAACACUCUUCAGAUGUGAAGUGGCAGACCAUCUGGUUGUAGUGAUCCUUUUGUGUGAGAAAAGGUGUACUUUGGUGACUCUGGUGAUUGAAAGGUGUGGCAAGUACCUGUAAACUUGGCCGGAGAUGCUCUCGGAAUGGUAAGCUUGGAAGAGUUGCAAGAUGCAAGCUUGUGCUAAAGAAGUAAGCGGGCAACUGCCCAACAUGAAUGGCAAAGGGGGUGAUUGUUGGGUUGGUUGCCAUUGCAUGUGCAACCUACCCUAUAAAGAAGUAGGGUUACCAUUUGUCAAUGGUGGUUGCACCCACCAUUGACAAAUGUAUCAACCCAUGUGCGGCUGCUGUUAUUGAAGAAGAAGAGCCACCAUCCUUGCCUAUAAAUAGGCACCAAGAAAGAGAGCAAAAUGAGAGAGUUGUGAGAAUGUAAAGAGUGUGAAGAGAGAAAGAAAGAGAAGGGCUGCUGCCUUAUGCAGCUGCUGCCCUAUGCAGCAAUGAGAGAUGGGAGUUGAGUGGAUGUGAUCCUCCUCCAUGUUUGUAUUCUUUCUCUAUCUCUAAAUAAUAUAGACUCUCUCCCGUGGAUGUAGGCGAUCUGCCGAACCACGUUAAAUAUUGUGUCAGUGUGCUUGCUUUUCGUUGAGCAAUUAUCAGUACAUCACCGGUCGGAGUUUCCCCAACAUUCAUGUACGCCUGAAAGGAGCCAUGGAAUUUCAACAAUGCCAUCUCCAAGGAGCCAUGGAACUUUAAAGUGGGAUGUCGUGUACGCCUGAAUUGUAUAGUGACAAUGGUGGAACUGAUGCGGUUGCAUAGCACCAACCAGUACUUUCCUAAUGAUUUCCUUGCGGAAAAAAUUAAGGCAUGUUGGAAAACGAUGCCACCCUAACAAUUAAUCCAAGAGUUCAAAUUCAACUUGAAUAAAAGCACGAUAAAUGGAUAAUUUAGAGGAGAAAGGAUCCAAGAACAUCAUGAAGGGAUGGUUCUAUUUUGUUACGCAACAAUCUCAACAGCUAAUUAAGAGGUUAGAUUGUAGGGUCUAAUUUCAAGUGCAAGACUCUAUUGAUUCUCAUCAUUAUAGUAAUAAAACCAUGACCAUUUUUAUUAAAUUAAGAGGAAACACAAAAUUAAACAAGAAAAUCUUAAGAGUUCAGAAAUAAAUCUAACAUUGUCGAACAGACUGUGAGCAAACCCAGAUUUGGUGGAAGAUAGAAAUAUGAAGAGAGAGCAGAAAUUGAUGGUCUCCUUGUUUUUCAUGGUCUCCUUGUUUUGCAUUUAAGGUUCGGCCAUCUAAGCUUCUCAUUGGGUUUUAAUUUCCUGAGUUAAUUUCAUCAUGGCUGGACUUGAAUAUCUCUAUAUAUACACUUAAGGCUGGGUGAGCUUGUCUCUUUAGCAGGCCUUCUUAGGCUUUUGUUCUUUCAAACAAUGUCAGCUCUAAGCCCAUUAUUUUACAGAAAAGGUAAAAUACACUUGUCAUGGCUGAUUGAAAUCGUGGAAGAAAAAACUAGAGGAAAGAUAACCGAUUGACCCCCAACGAAGACCAAUGCAGAGGAAUUUCAAAGGGGAAAAAAGGUGGCGGCUUUAUGAUGCAGUUCAUCUAAAGAUAAACCUAAUCUGAAUUAAUUGUUCGGUCUCCUUCAAAGCGAAAUAACUUUGCCAGGUUUCCUCCCAGUGACAUUACAUUAUUAAAGUUAAAAGCGCUGAAGCACAAUUCAAAGACAAUAAGUAGUAUUAAACUUAAUAAGCUAGUUCAAUGGAGGAGAAUGGUGUGCUGAAACACUAUGAUUUUCAAAAAAAUUGAAGCAUAUCAGAUCCAUGCUGCUGCAUUCGCAAGAAACGAGCACCCAUCAACAAUGUGCUAAAUGUCAAUGCAGAGCUUUAAAUCAUCUACAGAGGCUCAUGAAGAAAAUAGGCAUAAAUGAUAACAGAUAACACACCAGAGCACUCUACGUAAACUGAUAUCUUUAGAAAAUUCAAAGGCAUGAAUGAAAAAGAAAAGCGAGGAAUAUCUAAGUCAACUCUUAAUUUGUAACAGUCCACAACUUCAUGUUUGGUGUGUACUGUAAACCAUGCUCUCCACAUAAUCACGAGCUUCAUCUGCAAAAAACCAUUUUCACUUCUGGGGACAAGGGAUCAAACAAAUAUAAACCUGUUGUUGGAUUACAUUCAUAAUUUAUAUCAAGCCCUAGCUGCUGCUCGAAGGUAAGAAUUGGCUGGUUGCUCAGCACAACAUAACUGAUACAAACAAUUACUGAUACAAGCAAAGGACAAACACAAGUCACAUCAAAACAGAAAGGCUAAGCAACAAGAACACUUCUCACAGGCAAAUUGCUAAACAUGUAGUUAGCAACCAUUGAUUUGGAAUGCGACUGCUUCUCCACAGAGGAUUACAACAAAUUCAGAAAGCAGCCCACACGCUCCUGAUAAGAUCCAAUCACCUUCUGAAUCUGGACAACUUGGGAAAGUUUAUAGCCAAAAAGCAGCAGCAAGUGUCAAUGCAUUCUUCAAUGAAGUAAAACCAUCUGCGUCGCCAAUGCGGAUAUAUGCACAGUACUGCUGCAAUUGUCAACACCACAGUUAUGUAACACCCACCAAAGCUGGCAUAGAAACUGUCCAUGUCUAUGAAGCCACCAUCUCCAUUGAAAUCGUUAGGCACUCUAGCGGAUGGUGAUUCUGUUUUGUCGCAACUUUUUUGCAAUGGAGGUCCACAAAGAAGAGGAUUCCCUUUAUAACUGCUCUCAUCAAAGGUACAAAUUGAUUUUUCAUCUCCGGUGUUCUUCCUGACAAAUUAUUGUACGACACGUUGAAAACUGCUAAAAGGUCAGUUCAACGAGUUGUGCAGGAAUUCUCCCAUUCAAAUUGUUGUGAGAAAGAUCCAAGCUCUCUAUCUGCUUCAGAUUGAGAAGGAUGAAGGGAUCAAUCCAGUGAGAUUAUUUGUGACAGAUUUAGAGAAUAUAUCCCACUUAAGUUUCCCCAUUCUGUCGGGAUUUCUCCAGUGAAUCUGUUACAAGAAAGAUCCAUAACAGAC